GAAGACAAACCUUUAGAAUGUCUUCACAACAACAAUCUCUCUUUUUCCCGUCAUCAUAUAAUUAUCAGGCUUUGAGAUACCUAACUUGAGUCGAGGGUCAACUAGAUAUAGCCUCUGUAUCUCCAGGAGAUAGAGGUAAGGUCUUCUCCAAACCCAACUUGUGGAAUUACACCCGGUAUGUUGUAGUAUAUAAUUAUCAGGUACUCAUGUUUGCAUCUGCAUGAUGGAUAUCUUAUUAACAGCAGAUACUCACAUUGUUAUCUGCAUGAUGUCAACUGACAUCUUCAUCGUACAGUUCAGCUUCAAAUUCUUGUUUGAUUUUGAUUUAAAAAAAAAAAGGGCAGCCCGGUGCACUAAAGCUACCGCUAUGCGCGGUGUCUGGGCCCCACCCCACGACAAGGGUGUAUUAUACAUAGCUUUACCGUGCAUUUCUGCCGGAGGCUGUUUCCAAGGCUUGAACCCGUGACCUCCUGCUCAAAAAUGUUAACCGCCUAGAUGAAAAGACAGUGAAGAUACAUAUCAUACUUGAAUUGAAUCUUAUCAAACAAAGGAAGGCAUUAUCAAGUAGUAAUAAUAAAAAUAGUAAGCAUCAAGAACACAUACAUAUAUAAAAACGCGACGUGUCCAAGUAACGAUAUUAGGACAUCAAAAAGAUAGUUGAAGAUGAAAUGAAAAAUCCCAAACACGAAACAGACUGGUGGAAUUAAGCUUAAUAACUGACUGUUGAUCUUAAUAGACUCCAGAAUAAUUUGUUCAUUAACAACAUAGCUAACCUUUGCCAAAAAUCUCAAGAAAUAUCAAUUCACAAGAACUACAGAAGCUAUAACAUUUGAGCAUUUCUGAGAUAUAAAUAUAGAUAAACGGUCUGUUAAACCAACUCCAACCAAGCCCAACACUUAAGACGGCACUACUUCAACAUUCAAUCGCACAACAUUAAAGGUAGCGAGCGUCAGACCGUUGAAAACUUAAUUAACUGAUCAGGAAGAAAAGAAAAGAAAAGGUUUUUGCUACUACUGCCUUGAGCUCUUAAAUGGCAAUAAGUAGUAGCAUUUACUGCAAAUUCACCUGGAAAAAGAUGAAAAGGCAAAGCAAGUCUCUAAUGUUUUGGCUCUUUUCCCAUUUCUCAUAUUUAAUGUGUAUGAUUCUACUCACUUCGUUUCAAAAUAAGUGGUAUUUUUAGUUUAAAAAAUCCCUCAUACCUAGUUUUUGCACUCGAUUCUAAUGUAACUAUUCAUUCCUUGUCUAUACACUUGAUUCUAACGAAUAUUAGAUUGGUUAUAAGGUCAUGAAAAGGAAGAAAUUGAAGCUCAACAAUCUGAUGAGAUAUUCCAAAGGACAUGCUUUUGCUUUAUACUGAGAUAUUCCAAAGGUCAUCCACCUUCAACGCCAGUCUUGUAAAUCAACCUCACAAGGAAAGAACUGAGAUAAAAUAGAUUUUAGUAGUGAGUGUAUCCAAAAGCAAAGUUAAACUUCUAGUAGUAUUAAAACUGAACCAAUGUGUACCUUCUUGGUAACACGAGAGCUGAUACCGAAUUUCAAACACCGAUAUUUGGAAUGCAAGUUUAAUGACGUGAGGCAGGAAGACGAGGUGGUAGUAAGGUUGGAUUCCCAGACGGUGUGUAAGAGGGAUAGUUUCAAGGAUCUUGGGUCCAUGAUUCAGGGGAAUGGUGAGAUUGACGAGGAUGUCUCCCACCGUAUUGGGGCGGGAUGGAUGAAGUGGAAGCUCGCCUCGGGGGUGUUGUGUGAUAGGAAGGUGCAUGCCACCCAAGCUUAAAGGCAAAUUCUACAGGGUGGCAGUCCUUUCGACCAUGUUGUAUGGAGCGGAAUGUUGGCCAGUCAAGAACUCUCACAUUCAAAAAUUGAAGGUGGCGGAAAUGCGGAUGUUGCGUUGGAUGUGUGGGCUUAAUAGGGUUGAUAGAGUUCGAAAUGAUACUAUUUGGGAAAAGGUUGGAGUGGCUUCGGUGGAGAACAAGAUGCGGGAAGUCCGAUUGAGAUGGUUCGGGCAUGUGAUGAGGAGGGGCAUGGAUGCCCCUGUUCGUAGGUGUGAGAAGUUUGCUUUGGAUGGUUUCAGGCAAGGUAGGGGUAGACCGAAGAAAUACUGGAGAGAGGUGAUCAGGCGGGACAUGGAGCGGUUACAGCUCACUGAGGACAUAACCCUAUAUAGGAAGAUCUGGAGGACUCAGAUUAGGAUAGAAGGCUAGUGCCAGUUUGAGUCGUUGGGGUAGGACAUUACUUGGUAGAUGUAUUAUUCUUGCUAGGACACUUUAUUGCAUGCUUUAUUACAAAUUUGUUUACUAUUCUUUGUUUAUUAUUCCUUGUGGGUGGCGUAUUUAUAUCUUGACAUCUUGUUCUAUGCUUUAUUAAGUAUUUGUUUAUUAUUCCUUGUCUUAAGCCAGGGGUCUAUUGGAAACAACCUUUCUACUUCUCCUAAAGUAGUGGUAUGGACUGAGUACAUCUUACUCUAUUUCUGCAGUACAGUAAACUUAUUUUUACUCUAUUUCUGCAGUACAGUAAAAAAUUUAUUUUUACUCUUCUCUCUGUAAUAACAGAACACGCAUAAAGCGGUCUCAUGGGCAAGUGACAACACGUCAAAUGGAAGUUUGAUAGGCAAGGACUAAGGCAUGUGCCUCAUCGCUCAUGAGUUUUAUCUUGAAUUAAUUAAAAAACUACUACAGAGAGAAAAAAUUACCCCUUUACGGUCUUCAAGACUCGAUAUUUGUCAGAUAGAUUGGUUCCUCGAGCUGAUGAGCAUGGCAAUUCAGCUUUGAUUAGUGUAUUAGGAGGUCCAUCCUGAUUCACGAACAAAGGAUUAUGAGAUCAAGAAGAGAUAAAUACUUUCAUAUCACAAACAAAACUACCCCUUGGUUGGGUAAUAGUGAGCUAAGUUGUUCGUCCUCAUUAUAUUAUCUGCUUUAACAGGUUUAUGGCUCGUAAUGACGAGUGUGAGGACCUAAAGGAACAUGGAAAAUCAGAACUCCUAUUAACAUGACCACAUAAGAGAGUAUUACUAGGACGAAGGAAAUCGAUUCUUGUUGUACUAUUCCAGUAUGAAUGUGUUGCGGAAACAAUAUAAAAAGCAGUAGAUAAGAACUACCGCUUGGUUGGGAGACGUUUGAGUUCUUGCAAGAUGUGAACUAAGUUGUUCUUGCACAUUAUAUUCAUUAGCCACCUGCCGGCUCGAGUAGAAUCUGUCACCGUCUUCUCUCUUUACUCGGAGAGGCUCCAAUGAUAUGUCCACGACGGGGGGGGGGCAGAGUCGGUGUCUGGCUCAGAAAAACGACUCUUCGACUGACACUGCACCUACACAACAUGAAUGUUACUAUUUGUUGCAGCUAAAGAAAAUACUUUAAGAAAGUAACGUAACAACAACAACAUACCUAGUGUAUUCCCACCUAGUGGGGUCUGGGGAGGGUAGAGUGUACGCAAACCAUACCACUACCUCAAGAGAAGUAGGAAGGCUGUUUCCAAUAGACCCCCGGCUUAGAACCAAUAACAUUAUAGCAAACACAAAACAUAAAUGCAUAUAAACUUGUACAGGCAAAAUAAACUAACAACGCUAGCCACAAGAUACUACUAAAAACUAUAUAUCCGAAACCAUCGACAACACUCAACCCACGAACAAGAAACUUCAGAUACUAAUAAAGAAUGCCCCCCUACUGUUACCGACGCACUCCCACCCCCUAACCCUCUACUCACAUUGUUAUCUGCAUGAUCUUGAUUGGAAUCUUCACCAAACAGUUCAGCUUCAACUUCUUGUUUGAGUUUAAGAAUAUCGCCCUUCAGUUGCAGCAGCUGACCUAGAGUAUAUCUAACGCGUUCAUGGCCCUCAAAACGAGAGUCUUGAGUAGUCUACAAUGAUAAAGAGGAUAUUCAAGACGCAUAUCAUAAAGGUAGUUCAAGACAUUCCUAUUUUACUGCAGAUACUCACACUUGUAUUCACGUGACCUCGACUGGCAUCUUCACCAAAAAGCUCAGCUUCAACUUCUUGCUUGAUUUUAAAAACAUGGUCAGAAAUGAUAGCCACCUAAACAAACAGAAAGAGAAAUAAAUUGUAUCCUAUAAUGAAAGGAUAGUAAUAUCUACGUUGCUCGGAUACUUCAAAAAUGUCGACAGCCACGUGUCGGGUACUCUAAAAGUAGUGUAUAUUUAGAGAAUCCAACACGGGGGCGGCAAUAUUUUUAGAAAAUCAAAGAAACAUAGGGGUUGGAGAUUCAUUCAUAUUUAAAUGGAAUUUCAACAAACAAAGGAAGGCAUUAACAAGUAAUAUUAUAACGUAAACAACCACCAAGAACACAUACACAUUUAACACCAAGAAAAUGGUUGAAGAUGAAAUGCAAAAUCCGGAACAUGAAACUGAAUGGUGGAAUUAAAGCUAAUAAUGUGACUGAUGAUCUUAAUGAACUCCAGAAUAAUUUGUUCAUUAACAGCAUAGUAAAAUCCUGAAGGUGCAAUCUUUGCCAAAAAAACUCAAGAAAUAUCAAUUCACAAGAAACUAUAGAGGCUAUAACAAUUGAGCAUUUCUAAGAGUAAUAUAAAUAUAAAGAAAAUGAAAGGUUUGGUUUCUGCCUUGAGUUCUUAAAUGGCAAUAAGUUGUAGCAUUUACUGCAAAUUCACCUGAAAAAGAUGAAAAAGCAAGCAAAUAUCUAAUGUUAUGGUUCAUUCUUUUCCCAUUUCUCAUAUUCAAUGUAUAUGCUUCUAAUACACCCCCUCGUUUGUUUUUACUUGGACACUUCGAACUUUACAUGUUCCUUAAAAAAACUUAAUGAUAUGAGUAUUUUUACCAUAAUUUAGGCAAUAAGUAAUCAAUGCUAAGGUAAAAGCAUGGGAAAAUUUAAGUAUCUUUUCUUAAAAUGUUAAAAACGACCUAGUAAAAAUAAAAAAUCUAUUUUUAAAAUAGUGAACAAGUAAAAGUGAAUGGAUGGAGUAAUUUAUGUGGUGAUAAUUAUACCUUUCAUCAAACACCUUAUCAUGGAGUUGUCUUGUUAGAGGCUUCUGGCUGUCCAUGUAGGUGAUCAACUCAUAUUAAAAGUUAUCGACUAUAAGUUUAAGUAUCUAUCUUAUAAUAUAUGUCAAGUUUAAGUGGCUAUCGAGGUAAUAAGCCUUUAAUUUAUAUAAUUAUAUUAUUUAUAUAUUGGAUAUUGUUGUUUCAACAUAUUCAGCUUAUGCAUGACAUAUACACCAUGCUAGUAGGUAGGAGUGUUUUGCCUUGUCGCCCGUGCUAGUCGUAGUGCUACGCUUGUAGUUUCUUAUUCUUGGAGUUUUUUUGAUGUCGGUUGUGUAGGGCAGAUGGAUGAUAGUACUAUUUAGUAGUAAUCUCGUCUUGUUACUACCUAUCGUAUUAUAACUAUCUCUUGCUCCUUGUACUCCUAUUACGAUUGUCUUUAUCCCAAGUCGAAGAACCCCAAAAUAGAUUGAAUUCACUGAACAAGCAUUCAUAUAUCUGUCAUUAGUGAAAUAUCCAUCACAAAAACAGUAGCACCAAAAAACUUCAAAUCAUGUGUCCGUCUCUACCCUGAGGCAGAAGUCACGGGUUCAUGUGGGCGACUUGACAACCAUUGUGGGCUUAACUCGUCCACCACACCAGGCCGUACCAGUCUAGGCAUCGACUGGGAUUCAUGAACUUCCCAGUUGUCAUUAUCCAUGAAAGGCAUAUCAGACAUCUUUCUAGUACCUGGAACUCCCUUGAGCCGGAGGACCACGACAAUUUCUCAUUCUUGCAGAGGCACCAGGGCGCGAACUCAAGGUCUUUUGUGCUUUUGAGUGAAACUCAGCGAUGGAUUUGGCUUUCACCUAUGCAAAAAGGAAAAAAUAUUACAUCAUAAGAGAGAACUCUAGGAUACAUCAGACAACAAUGACAACGUAGAAUGAAGUGUCACCUCUUCCCGUCUAGGAACCCAGUUAUUGGAACGUAAAUCCAUCACAUCACGAACCAUAAACCUUAGCCGUGGAACCAACUGAGGGUUUGUUGAUAGUUGCUUCAACCGGUUAAAGUACACAUCGUUGACGUUCCUUGAGUUAUUGUUCUCAUCAAGUUGCUUGCCGAUGAUAUUGAAGAACUGACAAAUGGCUUCAACUUUCUCUUCUUCAGGACAACUUUUGGGAUCUUGUUCUAAUAGUUCCUGUUAACAAAACCAGCAAAGACGAUCAUUCGUAAAGUUCAAGGCAUAAAAGGACAGCAAUCACCUAGGAACAACAAGACCUGAGCGAAAAGGCAAGCAAUUAACAACCUGAACAAUGCGACGAACAAUACUUUCUGUGACCAUUCUUAUAUUAAAAAGUUCGCCAAUAAGCUUAAUAUUCCCAAGAUUACGCAACUUGAAAAACUUUUCUAUGUCCUUUUGUUCUGACUCCUGCUCAGGGGCUAUCAUUUGCCUCACUUCAUCUCGCAGUUUUUCAGCACCUUCAAAUGCUUCCUGACAAUUAUUCAACAGAACACGCUUGAACGAAAUCUUUCGGCCACCAGGUUCAUCAGAAGGAAAUGGAGGCAGGUUUUCACUGAGAUCAGAAAACAGCUGGGCAUACAUCGGGCAAAAUGUUGGUUCCAGUACAGCGCUGUUAAAUAUCAAGGAGACAACAUCCUGGAGUAAAGAUUAAAAGAAGUUAAAUCUCCAAGGCAAACAACGGAAAAUCUGAACCAGAAAAAACAACAAAGAUAUAUAUAUAUAUGUAUAUCCCGGAUAUGGGAUGACAUACCUUUAGAGUGUCCCCAUUAGUUAUCGCUGAAGCAAUCAGUUGCCUUUUGAGGAGAUCAAAUUUCGUCACAGUUGGCGGGUUGAGUAUACUGCAAAUCAAUAUGAGUUAACCAAAAGCUGUAUCUUCAAAUAAUGCCGUAAUGGAAUUACCAAUUCUCUAACAACAGAACUUCCGAAACCAAGAACCACGGGCAUCCAAUCACACAUACAAAUAGAGACAGGAUGUCUUGCAUGCUAACAUCCAGACUAAGUAUGUAUCAACAUCAUCUCUCCGCAAUAAUAGUACACGGAUAAAGCAGUCCACAGAGACACCGGUAGACACGUGACAAAACAUUCAAACUCAAAUGGAUGUAAAAAUCAUGAACUAUAAUCUUUGUAUGUUUUCAACUAGCACUAGAACACCGAGCUGAAGUGGAUAACGCUGAAAUCCAAAGGCCCUACACCUAAGCCCUUUACAACAAGCGUAGAUUGUUGCUAUUUCAAGCUACCCUUGCACUGUAUCAAAAAUGACAAACUUGAAAAUGCUUUUAACCUCAAGAAAUUCUCCUCAGAAAGCGGAUAAGAUUACACGCGCUAGCGUUUUUACUUUGAGAACAGAUAUCACUUAAGAUUGAGAGGAUUAAACCACAAAUAAGCAUAUGUUGUUUUGAAUAAAAUACAUAGCAACUACAAAGGGAAGAAUUUACCCCAUCACAGUAUUCAAGACAUGAUCUUUGUCAAAAAAGUUGCUCUUUUGCGCUGCUGAGCGUGGCGUUUCAGCUUUGAUUAGCAUACGAGUAGAUCCUCCCUGAGUCACAAACGAUGGUUUCAGAGAUCGAUCAAGAACUGAAAGAUAGUUUCACAUCAGACAGAAUUGUUGUCUUAAACUCAAUGCAACAUACUGAUAGAUGGGAAGAAGACAUGUCACUCGUCAUUGUAAAUCUUUACUGAUUAUUAUCGAUAAUUAAAUAAUAAAUAAGUAGGCGAUGUUUCAGUAACAUGUAACGACGAAUUCUACAUUCAUACUAAGAUACAAUAAGCAAUAGAAAACUACCCCUUGGCUAGGAGAUAUUAGAGUUCUUGCAAAUUGUGAGCUAAGUUGUUCAUCCCCAUUAUAUUCUCGGUUUUUUGGGCAUUCGUCGCAGAACAAUAAGUUUGAGGCUGGACCUGCACCUACAGAAACAUGCAUGAGACAACUUCUGGCAACACAAAAAGCGCAUACUGCAAGAAGGUGACAGAUUAAAUAUGAAACAAUUUUUCUAAAUGGGAAAAUGUAGAUGAACAGAAUUUCCUAUCUUUUUCCAUGUGUGUGUACACGAUUUAAUGAGCGGGAAAAAUAACCUUCUUUAACAGAUACUCACAUUGGCAUCGGCACGACCUCGCCCUCCAACAAACAGUUCAGAUUCAACUUCUUGCUUGAUUAUAAGGAUAUCAUCAGAAAUGUUAACAACCUGAUCGAGACCAACAACCAAAUGAAAAACAGAUUAAUACCCAUAGGUGGGGUCAUAGGAGAGUAGAGUGUAUGCAAACCUUACCCCUACCUCGGAGAGGUAGAGAGUCUGACUACAUUAGAGAGUAUUACAACGACAAAAGAAGAUUCUUGUUAUACUCUUCCAGUAUAACAUUGUAAGAACUAUUGGUACGUACUCACAUAAGCAAUCCUUUUUACACUGUCAGUAAGUAGAAACUAACUAAACAUCAAGCAAAAUCAAAAGCCAGAUAACAAUAUCAACGGAAAAUUUCAUGAUACUGAAGUACCUACCUCCCUCAAUUGCAGCAGCUGAUCUCGAGUAUACAUAACACCUUCACGGCCCUCAAAGCACGAGUCUCCAGUCUACAAUGAUAAAAGGAUAGUCAAGGCACAUUUUUCAUACAGGAAGUUACUAUAUAGAAAAGAAAAACACGUCCUACUAACUUCAUCCCUUACAGAGGCGGAGCCGGCUUAGUAAUAGGAGUUCGUCCGAACCCCCUUCGACGGAAAAUUAUACUAUUAUAUAUAUAUAUAUGUGUAUUGUAGAUGUUGAAACCUUCGUCUGAAAUCCUGGCUCCUCCUUUGAUCCCUUACAUGAUCCUAUAUACUAAUUUAUGACUCAAUUACUGAAGUUUCUGAUCACAUUACUACCUUUGGAAAAUUAGUCCCGCUGUUUCAUUUUACUUGUCCAUCUUAGCAAAUUUUAUUAUUGUUUUUUCAUACUAUCCUUAAUACUCCUUCCACUCCAUAAUAAGUGAAUUGUUGAGGUAAUGCACACUUAUUAAGAAAAGAAAGACUACUAUUACUUUUCAUUUUUGCCUUUUUAAUUAUUGUCAAACUACUGUUGAAAAUUCAAAACAUUGAUUAUGAUAACUACUUCUAAGAAAAUAAUUCAAAACAAUAUGAUAACUACUUCUAAGAAAAUAAUUCAAAACGAUAAGUAAAUAGCAGCAAUUAAGUUUCUUGAACUUAUCAUAUAGGAAAUCCACAUAAAGGGUAAAAAUGGAAGCAAAUUCUGACAUUACUCUUGAAGAUUGAACAAUUAAUUUAAUUUCAAGAUGUCUCAAAAAUUCUCUUAUUAUGGAAUAGAGGGAGUAUUAAAUAACUAUAUAUAAUAGUACUAAUCAAAUUUAGAGUUUCAAAACCUCAUUAAUAAUAUUAAUUUAGUAAAAUACACCUCUUAUUAAAAUUUUCUAAGAGAGAGUGUCAAGACAAAAUGGACCAAGUAAUAUGAAAUGUAUGAAGCAUUGUACUCCCUCCAUUUUAUUUUACUUGACACGUAUUAACUUGACAUGCCUCUUAAGAAAACUACAAUUAAAUAUGUAAUUUACUAAAUUAAUUUUAUUAAUGAUGCUUUGAAACUCUAAAUUUGACUAUUACUCCGGGGAAUUAAGACAUUUUUCAAUGUUCAAAUUACUUAAUUAUUCAAUCUUCAAGAGUGAUGUUGGAAUUUUCUUUCAUUUUUACUUUUUAUUUGAAUUUUUUAUGUGACGAGUUCAAGAAACUUAAUUGCUCCGAUUUACUAUUGUUUUGAUUUAUUUUCUUUAAAGUAGUUAUCAUGAUCAAUUUUUUUUUUUAAUUUUCAAGAGUAGUAUGACAAUAAUUAAAAAAAGAAAAAAUGAAAAAUGUUAAAUUUAUGUCUUAAUUUUCUUUUCUCAAUAAGUGUUCAUAACCUCAACAAUUCACCUAUUAUGAAAUAGAGGUAGUACUGUUUUUCCGUACUCCCCUAAGUAUUAAUAGCUAUAAUUAAUAGUAUUAAUCAAAUUUAGAGUUUCAAAACCUCAUUAAUAAGAUUAAUUUAGUGAAAUACGCCUUUUAUUAAAUCUUUCUUAAGUGGUGCAUCAAGACAACAUGGGAGAAUUAGUAGCUGUUUGACCAUGAAAAUUAUUCAUUUUUUUUUUGAAAAAUUAUUUCACGUUAGUGAAAAAAGUGAAAACAAGAUGCGUUUGGCCACGAAAAUUUCAAAUAAAAUUCCGGAAUUGUAUUUGAAAAAGUGAAAACAAGUAAAACUUAUUUUCACUUUUUUCACUCAUACUUCUCUCAUAAAAUUUCAAACACAACUUUAAUUUAUAUUCAUGGCGAAACACAAAUCCAACUUCAACUCCAACUCCAACUCCAACUCCAGAAAAUUAUGAUUUUCAUGGCCAAAUGGGAUCUUAAUAUGAAACAUAGAAGGUUAUACUCUCAAAUUGUUCAAUGUGAUACUCUUUUCUAUAGGUUAAAAGAAGAGUUUAUUCUAGAGAUGAUUGGAGUAGGCUAGUCAAUAACCGAAAAAAAUCGAAAAAUCGAACCAAACCGACAAGAACCAAACUGACGGUUAUUUUGUUUUUGUGGUUUGAUUUGGUUUUAGAAAUUAAAAAACUGACUAAAUUGAUUUUGGUUAUGGUUUUAACCACUAACCGAUUCAAAUCGACCCAUGAACACCCAGUAUUAUUUAUUAUGCAAUGUGUUUUUCAAAAUAAUAAAUUAAUUAUAUUUAAAAGGAUAAUAUUAUAAAAUUACCUUUAUUAUUAAUUAUUUCUUAACUUGUAUGUCAAGUCUAUAGAAGAUUUCAGUAAAAUGACCAUAACUUUUACUCCGAUGUCGGAUUAUAACAAUCAGUUUACAGUAACAAAAAGAGCUGGAUUGAUAUCGUAACUGAUAAUAUUACUAAGAUAGAUGAAUGAAUGUUUUAUGGAAACAAUACAAAUGGCUUUAGAGAUUAAGAAUUACCUCUUGGUUGAAAGACAUUUGAGGUUCUUGUAGUUAUGACUUUUGAGGAUUUUUGAGAUAUAAAUAUGAAAAAAAAAAGAAAAGUCUUGUUAUUACUUUGAGCUUUUAAAUGGCCAUAACAUUUACUGCAAAUUCACCUUGAAAAAUUAAAAGGCAACAAGUCUCUCUAAUGUCUUUGUUUGUUUCAAAAUAGCUCCAUUCAUUUUUAUUUAUCUAUUUUUUUAUUUUGGAAUAUUCAAUAAUGUUUAUCUAAUUUAUAAAAUUAAUGAAUAAUUUAACUACUAUAUUUCUAUUCAUUUAAUCAUCAGUAUUAAAUACGAUUUAUUAUCUAGUACAUUUUUCAAUACAUUAAAUUUAUUUUAUUCAAAGGAUAAUACUCCAUCCGUUCCAAAUUACCUGUUCCAAAUUGAGAUAACACAUCGAUUAAGAAAAAUAAUUAAUAACAUGCCUAGUUUACCAUAGUACCCCUAUAAAUUAAUAUUUUCGACAUAUAUGCCUUUGAAAAUUAACCAAAUACAAUUUCAACAAAUAUUAUACAUGAAUUAUAAUUUUAAAAGUACAACAAAUAUACCUCUUGGGAACAACCUCUGCAUUCAAUGUCAGAGACAUUCUGAGCACUUAUUUUAUCUAACUAAUCAAGUAUAUACACAGAGGUAUAUGUAACAUAUAAUCAAUGCAUUCAAUGUUCGACGUAGAUAUCAUGCAACAUUCUGUUUACACGUUCAACUGGAUUCAAUACUUUUGACACGUAUGAUGGGCAUAUAUGUAAAAAGCUACUAAAACUUUAACAAAACAAUGUAAUAGACCGAUGGACAGGUGCAGGAAGGGCGCGGCCCACAAGAGUCUAUUGUUCCAUAUAUCGUAUCGAAUCCAGAGGAAAAAUUGAACAAGCAACAUAACCAACAUAUAUGCAUGGACAUAAUAUAAACUUGGACAUAAAACCAAAUACUACAAAUAUUACUAGCAUCAUAUAAAAGAAACCUAAACUAAAAUAUAGACUUUUAUAACUCCAAAAAUAUAAACAAAACAUCAACUCCAAUUCCAAUACGCAACUAAAACAUAAAAGUAAUAAUUGCAUGCACUUAUACUCCAAGUGCAUAAAACAUGUUAAUUGUCACAUUUAAUAGUAAAUACUGCCUCCGUCCCAAAUUUUCUAAUCUGGUGUCCCAUUUUAUUUAUUCUUUUUUUACUUAUCAAGACAAAACAAUUUUUUUUUCCAUAUUUUACCCUUUGCAUUAAUUAUAUUUUUUUUAAAAUUAAAAUGUAAACAUGACCCUAUGGUAAACUAGCCAUGCUAUUUAUUAUUUUUCUUAAUAGCGUGUCAUCCCAAUUUGGGACGAGUAAAAUGGGACGGAGGGAGUAUCAAUUAGUAGAAAUAUUAUGGUAAAUUAAAUAUAUUAAUAAUUAUUUUUUAAUGAGUAUGCUAAUUCAAAAUAUAACAAGUAAAAUCGAAUGGAGGGGAGUAGUUAAAUUAUACUUAGCUUCCUUCAUUUGCUUUUAAUUGCCAAAUUUUGACAUGACACGCCUAUUAAGAAAAUAGGUAUUGAAAAAAGUAAUUGUCUUUUUUUGAUAUAUCAAAAGUGAUAAAUAAAAAUAAAAAUAAAUGACAAGUAAAAGCGAAACGGAGGGAGUAGAACUUAAAAGCAUACACAUUUAAUAUGGGAAAUGGGGAAAGAACCAAAAUAUACCUUAAAGACACUUGUUUGCCUUUUCAAUUUUCCAAGUAAAUUUUCAGUAACAAAACCUUUCCCUUUUUUCCUCUUCUUUAUAUAUCUCAGAAAUGUCGGACUGUAUGGUUGAUGUAGUUUCUUAUUAACACAUGCAUGCAUGCAGGAUUUUAUGUACUAUGUUGGAAAUAGUUGGCAAAGAAGAACUUUUGCAAAAUUAUUUUGCCAAAUAUCUACUUAAUUUUUUUUUGAUUUAUUUUUUAGGUUUAGGGUGUAAAAAGUGGAAAAAGUGAGGCCCACACGUGGGCCAGGGGACCAAUUCAUCAUUUAUACAACGUUACAAAUUUAAUAUAAUACACCUAACCCCCUCCACUUAUUCCAAUAUCUAAAAAAAAAACCCUCUCUCUCCUCUUCAAUUUCCAACUCCCGCUUUCAAACAACUUCUCCCAAAAACGUCAUUUUCGUACGUUCUUCGUCUGCAGCUGCUAAGGGGGCGUUGUUGCUUCGCAAGGUUAGUUAAAAUCGAGUUUGAUCAUUUCUAGAUCCAUUUAAAUGAUUUUUCUUUUUGCUAAUCGAUUGGUAGUGAUGUAGGAUUUUUUUUUUUCAAAUUUGGUGUUUUGAUUUAAUCGUGUUUUUUUUAGCAACGAAGUGUAGAAUGGUGGUAUAAUUGUUGUUUGAAGAGUUAUUUUGACAUUUCGAUUUGAACAGAGUCUUGUUUCUGUCUGUAGACCCGUGGUCUAUGAAAUGAGAAUGCCCAAGAUAUAUUUCAAUUUUCAGACGUAUGAAAUUCUUUUAAAACAUGAUUGCUGAAAUAGUGAAAAUUGAAAUAUUAAUAGCUAAUUAGUUUGAUUAGGUGCACUAGUUUGAUUUUUUGCAAUUGUUGUGUUUUGAUAUUUUACAUGUUCGAUUUUGGUUCAAUUAUUGUAUGUUUGUGUAGUGAACUGUUUAAUGGGGGUUCAUUUGAUCAUUGAGUUAUUUCUGUUGAUAGACUUGUGGUCUAUGAACUGAAAAUGGAAGAUUUGUUCUUUAGGUGUAGACUGUGUUGAAAAUGGGUAGAAAAAUGUUAUUUCUAAACAGAAAGACGAUACCGCUGGUAGUAGUAGAAAAAGAAGAGCUGCGGCAGUUGAAAAAGUGUCAAAAGAAAGAAAAUUGAAGAGUCGGUGUCCGAAUCAGAUUCAGAGUUAAAGGAGAUAAAUGACUACGUCGAUUCUAGUGAAGAUGUUGCCAAGAUGAGUGUCAGUGGUGACAAUGAAGAGUGCGAGGGAAGUGGGAGUAAUAGUGAUGAUGGGGAUAAUGAUUCGUUGUUCGUGUCAUAUCUUUCAAGGUGCAUUUCCGUGGAGCGGUAUGACCUUCGAACGAUAAUUGACGAGGUCAAAUCUUUCCUGGCAAAGAUAUCGGCCAGAUCAAGAAUGGCUACUUAUCGAAAAUUUAAGCAAAUUCUUGUCGACCAAGAAUUGAAGAAAAGAUUCAAGCGGUCCUGUUUUGAACACCUGAGAAACCUGCCGGAACAUCUCAAGUUCAAUGGGCAGUUGGUUCAUUAUUUGCUGUUGCGACGUGUUAAGAACGAUAAAAUGCGUCAUGAGAUGUGGUUUUGCGUUAACAACAAGCCUGCCUGUUUGGCUUGAAAGAGUUUUGUUUGAUCACGGGGCUGAACUGCUCAUCACAUUCCAGUGAAUCAAAAAUGAAGAAGGUAUUAGCAAAGGGGGACAAUUUUCAUUUUAAGGUGGCAAAAAUAAAAAAACAUCACGGUGGCCAACUUGUUACACCUGAUCAGAGGGAAUAAGCUGAACAAGGAGCAGAAGUUCAAGUGUUGUCUACUGUGGUUCUUGCACACCAUGUUGCUUGCGAAAGAUUCGACGAAGGUUGUCGACACCAAACUGAUUCGAAUGGUCGACUCUUUGAGUUUCUUCGAGAAGUAUCCAUGGGGGAAAGAGACAUUUCAACUGACCAUGGACUAUCUGAAGAAGAAAAGUGACCUGAANNNNNNNNNNNNNNNNNNNNNNNNNNNNNNNNNNNNNNNNNNNNNNNNNNNNNNNNNNNNNNNNNNNNNNNNNNNNNNNNNNNNNNNNNNNNNNNNNNNNNNNNNNNNNNNNNNNNNNNNNNNNNNNNNNNNNNNNNNNNNNNNNNNNNNNNNNNNNNNNNNNNNNNNNNNNNNNNNNNNNNNNNNNNNNNNNNNNNNNNNNNNNNNNNNNNNNNNNNNNNNNNNNNNNNNNNNNNNNNNNNNNNNNNNNNNNNNNNNNNNNNNNNNNNNNNNNNNNNNNNNNNNNNNNNNNNNNNNNNNNNNNNNNNNNNNNUACAUCAUCCCUACUGUUCGUGAGAUGAAGAUGGAUUACAUGAUUACGUUUGAGCCAUAUACGGACGAGGUAAAGAAUAACGUCCUCGAUGGCUUGAAGAAAGAGUUAGAAGGGGUGACUGUCCUCACUUCAAAUGAGGACAGUGAUGAUGACGGGGAUUUGGGUGGUAACCCCGUUGGAGUAUGGGUUGGUGAUGAUGAUUCUCCGAGCACCUCCAAAGAUGUAGUGGGAACCUCAUCCCUCGGGGAUCUUCAUAAGUGUGUGGCUGCGCUCGAGGAAGCAGUGUUGGAUAUUGCUGCCUAUAUCAAAGAGAAAAGAAUGAAGAAAAAGGAAAAUGAUGAGCGACAACAUGAACGAGGUAACUUCAUUCAUUAAUUGAUGUUGUUAAUGAAUAUUCAGCUUUAAAUAUCAGUAACACUUUGUAAUAUUAUGAAAUAGUUCAUGUACAUGAAUCGGAGAGGAAUGAAGAAGGAGAAAAAAAGAGCAAAAUGGAUGAGUUGGCCGCUGUUGUGGCAGAAGAGGAAAAAGAAGAAGAAAAUAAGGAUGGUGAAGAAGAUAAGAGCCAAGAAGAAGGUGAAAGAAGCAACAGCAGAAGAAGCAGCAGCAGAUGAACAAGGAGGCGCGAAAAAAGGAAAAACUGUUGAAGAAGAAGCUGACAAAGAAGAAGUUGAGCAAGAAGCAGCAGGUGAACAAAAAGAAGAAGCUGAGGAAGAAACAUCUGCUGAAGCUGAGGAAAAAAUAGCUGCUGCAGGUGAAGUAAGAAAAGAAGGUGUGGAAGAAAAUAAAACUGAAGAAGCAGCAGCUGAUGCACAUGCUGAAAAAGAAGGAGAAGAAGGUGAGAAUGAAGAAGCAGCUGCAACUGUUGAGAAAAAAGAAGUUAAAGCUGUCCAAACAGAUGUGGUCAUGGACAUUGUUGAUGAAAUCAACAGUAACACUUGUGUUGAUGAGGAACUUAGGGAAAGUGACAUUUAAAUGCUAAGAUGUUUAGUUUGUUGUUAAAUGAUGAGUUUUUAGGAUAUGACAAUUUUUUUUUAUUUCACAAAUAUGAAGUUUGAAGGAUCUGGUGGUAGGAUAUGACAAUUAUUCUUUUAUUUUAUGAAACUUGUUAUGAUUCUGAGCUGAAUCUAUUUCUAUUAAACUAAUUUGUGGCAUGGAAUUUGAAUAUACAGGGUGUGGUCAUAGUUGGUACAUUGUAUGCUUGAUAUCAUAGAAUGCAUACUUAAUAUUCCAUAUACCAUAUGCAUAGUCUAUCAUUACCCUGCUGGUCGAAUUUAAGUUGACGUAUUGUUUAAUCGACUAUGAUUCUAUCAAAAAUAGUAUUUACAUUAUACAAAAGUAGAACUAUUAUUAUUUAUUGGGAAAAGGCAUCGUUUUCACCCCAAACUAUAUUCGAAAAGUCGAAGUCACACCUAAACUAUACCAGUGACCUAUUCCACACCUAAACUGUAAAAAAGUGAAACUAUUUACACCCUGUCAGGAUACCACCACUUGCAUGUGGUGUAGUGUUUUACACGCGCUGCCACGUCAGCAAAAAGUAUCACUUUUUUAUAGUUAAGGUGUACAAUAGGUCACUUAUAUAGUUUAGGUGUGGAUUUGACUUUUCGACUAUAGUUUGGAGUGGAAACGAUGCCUUUUCCCUUAAUGUUUUUAGCCGUUUACUUUUGUUAUUUAAUAGGCUGGACGCGUCUAAAAUAAGUGUAACACACGCGCCUUAGAAUGGGGGUUGCGUGGAGGUAAUAAUAUCACUUUUAUAUAGUUAAGAUAUGUAAUAGGUCACUUAUAUAACUUAGGUGUGGCUUAGACUUUUCUUGUAUAGUAUGAGGUGUAAAUGACGUCUUUUUCCUUAUUUAUUCAAUAUCACUAUAUCCAUGUUACACUUUUCUAAAGAAUGAAUACUAGCAUUAUAGCACAUAACAUCAUUUUUAGGACAUUCUCUCUUCCUUCGGCCAAAAUCAAUUUUUAUUUUAGUUGAUCCCUCUCUAUUUGGGUGUCAUGUAGCAAUAGUUUAAAGUGAUCCCUCUGUUCUUCGACUUCUUUGAACAAAGUCAUGAGAAAAUCUUUAUUUUCUUUGCAUUGUUGGAGCCUUUGUAGUAGAUUAAAUUUUGCCAAACCAUGAAAAUUUGAUGACUCGAGUCUCGAAAUAAACGUUGAUGGACUGGAUGGAGGUGAUAGCUCAUCAAGCUAUUUGAAAAAUGAGCAUGCACCAUUAUCCUAGGAAAAAAAAUAAUUACAUAACCAUUAACUUAACUUUUUAAAAAAAAAUACGCACACCUCACCUUUGCAAUUGGACAAUUAUAAAAUUUGCGACCUGGAUUUAAAUCUGUGUGUGACGUCCUCAAGAUAGCCGCAUUCCCACAAUGACAAAUUAGAGUAUUUUUAGAAUUGGAUGAUUGAGAUGCUUGCGACAUUAUAAAUUUUUUAAAAACAAAAUAAAGUUGAUGAAAUAAAAUAAGGAGGGAUGUACACCUUAUAUAUGAAGUAAAAACAAAGUGUUCACACUGAUGGCUUAUAAAAGUAGCUGUUUUUUACCGUUGGAAAAGUAAUUUUUCUCUUUUGAACUGGUGGUGACACUAAAUAGACUGUCGUAGAUCAUGACCUAUGUCACGCCGUCGAUUUUUAUUGUUUACCAUAGACUUGCACCUUUAUUAGUGCAUCGACUGAUAUCCUGAUUAUGCGUAGACUACCGUGAUCUAUGUACACAUCUAUAGACCAUCACGUGGAGGUAGUUAAAAAAUAAAUAAUUAAAUUAAAAAAAAAUUUAAAUAGAUAAUAGUAACAUAUUUUGGGGGUGGUGGAAGAAAAUAAUUAAAUAUAAUAUGAUUUAAAUGGAUAAUCACAUGUUUUGGGGUCGGUGGAAGAAAAUAAUUACAUUAAAAAUGAUUUAAAUAGAUGCUCUUGGACUGGUGAUGACACUUAAUAGGCCAUCGUAGAUCAUGAAUUAUGUCAUCCAUCGAUCAGUAUAGUCUAUUGUAGACUUACACGUUUAUUAUCGCAUUGACUGAUAUCAUGAUUAGGCUUAGACCACGAUGAUCUAUCUACAAGGUUAUUGACCAUCACUUGAAUGUAGUUAAAAAAAUAAUUAAAUACAUUAUAAAUAAAUGUGAUGUGGAUUUCUACACAUGUGAAGAAGUGUAAACAAGUCACAUAAUCAUAUUAGAGCUUAGACAAAUUAGGGAGGGUGAAUUAAGAAGUGUGUGGAUGGGUAGUGGUUGAAUGCUCAAUAUCGUAAGAGUAAUGUUUAAACAAAGCAUAAGUAUGUAUAUAGGAUAUGUAUUGUAUUUGAUGCCUACACAUUCCACAUAUUUCUUUCAUCACCACCCCUAAAUCAAAAGAGUGUGUGCAAUUGAUAGUGGUAAAACAUUUAUCAUCCUCAAUACAUACUUGUGCUUUGAGAAACAUUACUCUUACGAUAUUGAGAAUUCAACCACUACCCAUCCACACACUUCUUAAUUCANNNNNNNNNNNNNNNNNNNNNNNNNNNNNNNNNNNNNNNNNNNNNNNNNNNNNNNNNNNNNNNNNNNNNNNNNNNNNNNNNNNNNNNNNNNNNNNNNNNNNNNNNNNNNNNNNNNNNNNNNNNNNNNNNNNNNNNNNNNNNNNNNNNNNNNNNNNNNNNNNNNNNNNNNNNNNNNNNNNNNNNNNNNNNNNNNNNNNNNNNNNNNNNNNNNNNNNNNNNNNNNNNNNNNNNNNNNNNNNNNNNNNNNNNNNNNNNNNNNNNNNNNNNNNNNNNNNNNNNNNNNNNNNNNNNNNNNNNNNNNNNNNNNNNNNNNNNNNNNNNNNNNNNNNNNNNNNNNNNNNNNNNNNNNNNNNNNNNNNNNNNNNNNNNNNNNNNNNNNNNNNNNNNNNNNNNNNNNNNNNNNNNNNNNNNNNNNNNNNNNNNNNNNNNNNNNNNNNNNNNNNNNNNNNNNNNNNNNNNNNNNNNNNNNNNNNNNNNNNNNNNNNNNNNNNNNNNNNNNNNNNNNNNNNNNNNNNNNNNNNNNNNNNNNNNNNNNNNNNCUGUAACUUGAAAAGGCAGACAUAUUUGAUUCGAGUUUUCAAACAAGGGAUCAGAACAAAGAUGACAAACACACAAUGUUAAAAGAAACUGAAACAUAAUUGUAUUAAAAUUGUUCAUUGGAUUACAUAAUAAAAUUUACAUCAAAAAGGAAAAAAUGAAAGAAGCUUUCUUCUAACAAGAUCCUACAAAAAAAGCUUCAUCAGCAAUGAACAAAUAAAAAAAAAAUUAAAAUCACAUACUAAAAUAAAAAAUUUAAACCAAAUUAUGGGGAUGGUGGGGGGUGAUGUAGUCAGGGCCUUCCAUUCCGAGCCUUUCCAAAUUACCCUCAAGAAACGAGCAAUUCGACGGAGCUCCCGCUCCAGGUAGAUGCGGUCUUGACCCAGCCCAUAAAAAAUCCGAUCCAAAUCAUUCCUUAGGAGGAGGAGGUCGUAAUGCCUCGGAGGAACACGUCUGAUGGGGCACAGGGGUAUCCUUCUUGGAGGCAUUUUUUUGAUUUGGGUGAAGAAGAAAAAGAAGAGACGAUUUUUGAUAUUUUCAAUUUAGGAAAAACUGAAGGGUUGCGUAGAAAGAGGGUCUGUACUUAUAGACCUGUAGAUUGCGUCUGUUCAUAUAUCCACCCAAUGGCAGGUCGACGUGUCUGACAAUAGAAAAUAUUUUUUGUGUGUGACGUUUUAUGCAGCUUUUUAAUAAAUGGGAACAGGAAACAAGGGAAAUAAUGAUUCAUUGCAUCGAUUGGAGAGAUAACCCGGGAAAAUGACCAACAUAACGUGUUAGAUUAGCAAUAAUAUAAUCAAUAUAUAAUAUUUUAUAGACCAUAUAUUAUAUAUACCGUAGACUAUAGAUAGUCUAUCGUAGACAAAGCUUUAGGUCGAUAAUAACUGAAUGUUAAAAUCUACAGAAAUGCACAUUCAUCCCCCAAAAUAGUAGGUUUACAACUGAAGCUAAAAAAAGCCUAUUUAUGAUUUGAUGCCCAUUCUACACGUGGUUUUUUUGUGUCCGGAUUUCUUGCAUAUUGAACACCUAUUCCUCCUUUUGGACUUGAAUAUCUCACCGACGUCCUUAGUGCAUUUGACUUCCUUCCGAGUUUGGGAUCGUACGGGGGUGGAGAAAUUUUGGUGUCUACCAAUUCUUGUGGCAUAGUCCAUUCAGCCUCUGGAGGGACCACAUUAAUUGCUUCUGAGUAUGCGAGGAUGUAACUUUCAGCUUUAUAAAUUGGCAAAGAGUAGUCAUAGAUGGAGUUACCAUAAUCUUCGCCAUCGCCGUACUUUGCUCGCAAAGCUGCCAUUGCGUGUUCGCACGACAUUUUCACCAAGUCAAAUUUUCGACAAGAACAGCUCCUCUCCAAGAGAUUGAACUUGGCAGUAACGCCAUUGCCGAACAUCGUAUACUCAUCGAGAACUCCGUUUGGAUUACCCACAUACAAGGAAUCGCUCGCACUCUUAUUGUCCUUUAGGAUCCUUUCCGCAGAAGGCACAAAUAUGUUCUCUUUACCACCUACAAAUGCAUGCCGCUCCCUAAACUUUUCACCAAUUUUUUAGCAAUUGAAUUGAAUAUGUACGACGCGAGGUACUCCCGUUCAUCCAUCAAAAUUGAGUUGAGCGACUCGGCAAUAUUUGUGGUCAUCACGUCGUACCUAUUGCCCGAAAAGUGUGCUCUACUCCAUUUUUUAAAACCAAGCACAUUUUCAAAGACAUGAGCUGCCUCGGGGCAUUUACUCUUCAAUUCCACAAAAUUAUCGAUAAACUCAUCAAAGGAAUAAGCCUUUGCCGCGAUGUAGAAUAGAUAAAGAUGUUCUCCGCAGUGUUGAUUUACGUGAAAAUUUUCAGCGAGGUGCUUCAUGCAAAGUCCGUGAUGUGCACGAUUGUAUACAUGGGAGAAGGUAUUGGCGAUGCUAAUGUGCCUGUCAGAGAUGACGCAUAGAUCUGAUUCAUCUUCUAUGAUAGACUUCAGCUUCUGGAAGAAGAAGGUCCAAGAAGCACCGUUCUCUUUAUCGAUGACACAAAAGGCAGUCGAAAAUAUAUGAUUUUCGGUGUCCUGUGCAACGGUGCUCAGCAGAACGCCCCCGUACUUGCCAUACAAAUGUGUGCCAUCGACGACAAUUACCUUUCUCAUAUGGGCAUAUCCUCGUAUGCAAGCUCCGAAUGCUAAGAAGUAGUAAACGAAUGAUCCAUCCAUCCGGUUUACCAUGAUAGAGUAAGAAGACCCGGGAUUCAAUAACUCCACCAUGUGGGAAAAAGCCGACAAGCAAGCAUAUUCGUGCUCCGGUGUCCCGCGAAUGAUGUUCUUCGUAAUUACACUUCCUUUCCAACACAUCCAAUAGCUUGCGUUGCAAAGCAACUCCUUAAAUACAAUUCUUUGAAUUUAUCUUAUGCUUGGACCCUUACCAUCUCGAAAAUGAUUUACACAUACUGAAGCAAUCAAUACGGAUGAGACUUUUUUGUGCCUGCGGGUGGAAUUUUCAACACCGCACAUGUGCAUCCCGAUAUACUUAUAUAUGCGAAAUCUGUUUGAGGUGUCGUGCUUUUUUGCCUGCAACAGCCAGCCACAACCACGAGAUAAGCAUUGCACCUUCAUCAAUUUUGUGCAUCUCUUAUCCAUAUAAUAAUCAAAAGACUGCCUCGCCGCUGCUGCGUCUAGUUGCAUUUUCAGCUCUUUUUUAUUGGAAUGUUUGACCACAACAGAAAUUGGUUCUAUCGGUGAAGGAGUGUCCUGCUUGUGAUUCCGUUUCACGGUCUUCUUCAUCAUCUUGCGAGUCCGAUGAAAAGUCUUCCAUAUGCAUAGAAUAAUCUUCCAUAUUAAUUGUAUCAUUGACAUCGUUCUCGUAAUCAUUCAAAUCGUCGUCGAUCAAAUCAUCGUCGACUGUCGGGCGCUGCGGUGGGGGUGCUGAUGAAUUCAGCGGUCCUUCAAAGAACCUCUCAACUACAUUUAUCCUCAAAAUUGGCCUAAAGCCAUCUGCAUCAGCAUCCAUUAUGUACGUCAGCACACGUACAUCGCUAUUUAUGAUCGUAGGAUUCACCUUUUCCCUCGAAUGCAUUACAUAACUAAUCACCACGUCGCUCGGCGCGCAAUCUAGAUCCCCGCUCUACAUUACGCUUACAACAAAUUCGUCGUAUGAACUGUUGCGGCGAACAAAAAUGAGAAUUAUCACCUUGGUAAAUGAUCUCCAUUUCCAACAUUUCAAAGUCUCCACCCAUUCUCCCAUAAAAUCACUAGAAACCAGAACAAAUUCUGCAAUAGACAUCCUAGAAUUAAGCUUCGACCGAUGAUAGAUUAUGCUUAUAGUCUAUGUCGUGUUGUAUGCACGGUCGAUGACUGGCGAGGACGGGUCGAUGACUGCGCAGAUUUCUGUACAAAUAAUUGAAAUUGCAAAUAUUGCUUGUAAUCAAUGAUUGUUGGGUUUAUGGAAUAAAGAAAUGAACUUGGAGUCGCCUGAGCUGCUGUAAUGCACUUUCUAAAGUGGUUUUGAGUAAUGUGAGUGAUUUAAAGUUUUUUAACAAUGGUAGAAAGUGUGUUUGAGAACAUAGGAAACAAAUGGGAUAACAAUGGAUGUAAUGGACAAGCUUAUGAUGUUUGUGGACUAAUUAACAGCUGAUCGCCGGAAAAUAACGCCGGAAAAGUGGCCGGAAUCGGAGCUUUUUGGUGGGAAAAAUAACCACUUUCUAUUUUUAGCUUUUGGAAUUUUUUUUUUAAUAUUUUUGGAAAUCUAGAUAUUAUUUUUAUAUAUAUAGUGGUGGAUGAUGGAGUGGGUUGAAGUGUAUUAUUAGAAAUUUGUGGGUGAAUUUAUUAAGUUGGAAGUAUUGGGUAAAAGUGAAUUAUUAUAAAGGUUGGGAUUGAAAUUGUUAAGUUGGAAAAGUUGAUGGUGAGGUGGAAUUAAGUGGGUAUUUGACAAAGUAUUUAAAACUUGUGGGUAUUUGACAAAAUAGUCUGAAUGAAGAGUCUUUUUGGCAUAAAGACCCUACUAUGUUGCUGAUGAACAAAUUAUUUUUGAGUCUCUUAAGAUUAGCUCUCAAAUUCCUAACUUUAGUUCCACCUAAUUUCUCUUUUGCUUUUAAAUGUGUACGUCUUCUUGAUCCUUAUUACAUUUAUUAUUACACACUUGAUAUAUAGUAAUUAAGCCCUUUUUUGUUUGUUGAGAUUCAAUUUGAAUAUGUUAUGUGUAUGCACUAGCCAUUCAUCAGUCAUUUUAAUUUGUUUCUCCUGUACUGUUUUUAAUUAGGUGGUUAACAUUUUCAACUAUAUUCUUAAAAUCAAAGAACAAGUUGAAGCUGAACUGUUUGGUGAUACUAAUGUGAGUAUUUGUAGUAAAAAGAGUAAAUGCACCGUUUCCACUCUGAACUAUAAACGAAAUUGUGGAGACACACUCCAACUUAAUUAAAGGGGUCCUAUUACCCCUGCACGUAUUUUUGGCAACCUUGAGUGUCUACGUGGACCUUCAGUAUGUUGUGCACCAUAUAUGUGCCACGUAGGCCUUAAGGUUGCCAAAAAUACGAUUUUAGUUAGUACCCCUUUAAGUUGGAGUGUGUCUCAGCAAUUUCAUUUAUAGUUCAGAGUGAAAAUAGUGCAUUUUCUCUAGUAAAAAGGAUAGACUGCUGGAGAUUCUUGUUUUGAGGGCCGCAAACGUGUUAGAUAUACUCGAGAUUAGUUACUGCAACUGAGGGACAGUAUUCGCAAGCUCAAACAAGAAGUUGAAGCUGAACUAUUGGGUAAAGAUUCCAAUCGAGAUCGGGCAGAUGCCAACGUGAGUACCUAAGAUUUUUAUGAUGAAUGGAACCUCCUCCUGUUAUUUAUUGUUUUGUUACUUACUUAGUUCGGGCAAAGGUGGGAGUGGCCUCGAUGGAGGACAAGAUGCGAGAAGUGCUGUUGAGAAGUUUGGGCAUGUGAUGAGGAGGGGCAUGGAUGCCCCAGAGAGAUUAGCUUUGGAUGGCUUUAGGUGGGGCAGAAGUAGGCCAAAGAAGUACUGGAGGGAGGUGAUUAGACAGGACAUGAAGCAGUUACAGAAUACUCUGAGGACACGGAGAGCGCGAAUUAGAGUACAAGGUUAGUGCAUGUGGAUGAGUCGUAGCCUGCAGGUAGUUGUGCUUUGGGGUAACCUUGCUAGUAGUCGUAGAACUUUGCACAUAGGGUGGAGUCUCUAGUUAGGAGGGUUGGGAGGGGGGAGGGCGCUUGCGGUUUGUUAGUUUAUAGUACUGCUUUGUGGGUGCCGUAUUUUCUGUUAUUUCAUCUGGUUCUAUCGGAAACAACGUAACUCUCUACUUCUUUGGAGGUGGUGGUAUGGACUGCGUAUAUUUUACCCUUCCCAGACCCCACUAGGUGGGAAUACACUGGGUAUGUUGUUGUUAAAGUAUGCACUUUAGCUGCCACACGUAAAAAAAUUUAUGUUGUAUAGGUGAAGGAUCGGUCGCAGAGUCGUCAGUAUUCUGAGCUAGACACCGAUGACUUGGCUAAGUUCUCUGCACCCGUUGUGGACAGAUCAUUGGACCGGACCCUCUCCGAGAAAACAGAGAAAUUGUUGAUAAAUUUUACUCUGGACAGCAUGAACAACAACUUAGUUCACAUUUCGAAAGAACUCAAAUGUCACCUAACCAAGGGGUAAUUUUUUAUCUAUUGGUUUUGCAUUUCAUCUUCAACUAUUUGAUGACCAAGUCUAUUUACUUGGACAGUACUCUCUUGAGUGUGUAACGUUUAUUAUUCGAUAAUGCCUUACUUCCAUUGGAUUUUAAGACCUUCCUGUAUGAAUUUAUGUACCCUUAAAUGGUUAAAUAGCCUGUUAGGUUUAUCAUUGGAUUCAUUGUUAUCCCUCUAGGCGGUUAACAUUUCCGCGAUAUUAUAUUCUUCAAAUCAAGCAAGAUCUUGAGUGUGAACUGUUUGGUGUAGAUGUCAAUCAACGUGUCAUCCCUUUGUUUGUUUCGUUGCGAUUCAAGUUAAAAAUCAUAUGUGUUUUCACUAUCCUUUUAUCAUUGUAGACUACUGGAGGCACUCGUUUUGAAGGCCAUGAACACGUUAGCUAUACUCGAGAUGAGCUCUUGCAACUGAGGGAGGUAAUACUCAUAUCUUUUGCUUCUUAGGUUGCAUUUUUUUCUGUUAUAACAAUCAACUCCAAUGUAGUGCUUAUUAUCGAUGUUCCCAUUCGCCAUUUUUCUUUCUUCGCUGAGAUUCAAUUUAAACAUUAUAUAUUUCUGCAUUAUCCUAGAUGGUUAUCAUUUCCAGCGAUAUUCUUAAAAUCAAACAAGAAGUUGAAUCUGAACUGGUUGGUGAAGAUGCCGAUCAAGAUCAUGCAGAUGUCGAUGUGAGUACAACAACAUACCCAGUGUAUUCCCACAAAAUGGGGUCCUAUACCAAUACCUCAGAUGUCGAUGUGAGUAUCUGUUACAACGCAUAUGCCUUUUCUUUAUGCCUUGUUGAGGCAUGAUAUAUUUCCGGAUUAUCCUAUUAUCGUUUUAGACAACUGGAUACUCUCGGGUUGAGGUAUAAGGUGCUUCAACUGAGGAAGGUAAUAUUCAUCUUUUGCUUUCUCUAUUCCAUUUUAUAUGUCAUUUGUUCUUGUAAUCCGCUCUGAUGUAGUGCAUAUCAUUGCACGUUCAAAUCUUCCGGUUUUCUUUAGCUCCCCUACCCCCUGCCACUCAGGAGAAAACAACACCUACAUUUUAAUUUCAAGAAAUUUUCUUUCAUAUAGUGAAUCUGAAUAUAGGUGGCUCGGAAAAUCAAGCAAGAAGUUGAAUCUGAACUGUUUUGUGACGAUGUCAAUGCAUCUGUUAAAAAGGUUUUUUUUUUUUUAAAGUAGUAUCUACUCUUUCUAUUUUUAACCAUCGUGACGAUUCAUCCUAUAUUAUUCUUAGAUUAUUCCAGCUAAUAGCAGAAUGUGGCUAGGGAUCUAUACUAGAGACCUACCCAAUUUAUUAUAGCAGAAAGUUUCACCAUCAAUGAUUUUCUUCUUCUCAAUUUUUCCAUUAAUCAAAAUUGUUUCUUAUCUAAUCUGUUACCUUCUUGAGAUGUGUACUUUGUGUUGCCAAAUGUUGUCUCAUUUGUGUUUCUGAAGGUGUACGUCCAGUCUCAGACUCGUCAUUGUUCUGAGACAGAUUCCUCCAAAAACCGAUAAUGUAAAGGGGACGAACAGCUUAGCUCACAGUUUGCAAGAACUCAAACGUCUCGCAAUCAAGGGGUAGUUCUUAAUCUAAUAUUAUUGCUACCUUAGUGAUAAUACUGUAAUCAAUAUGACAAUUAUAACAGUAAUCUAAUUGCUUCUUAACCAAUUAGUAUAUUAAUUAUACUUGAGUCGUGCUAGACACUGUUCUAAGAAACUAUUUCAGUAGUGUGAAAUGUUUCCCCAGGAUUAAAUAAACACUUCCCUGAUUAAUUAGAGGAUAUUCAGAGUUAAAUAAGUUUUUCCUAAUUAGUCAGAGGGUGCAGGAAUCAACAAAAUUAUCAAUAAAAAUACCAACAAGUUAAACUAAAUUAUACAACUCUUUAAUAAAUAAUGAUAUAAUAAGGAUGAAAGAAGAAAAUUGAGGGAGUUAAAAGUAAAGCAGAAGGGAAAAAAUAUGUAUUAGUUACUGUUGGAAGUAUAUAAGUUUGCAAAAGAAGGAAUGCUAAUAUAGCAUAGUUGAGGCGGUGGACAACAUUUUUCCAUUUCUUUUAUUUCUUUCUCCGCAAGUAAUGAAAUAGCUUCUAAAACACAUUUCUUAAUGGCUUUCAAAGUAAGCCUUCUCAAGUAUACAUGACUUUUUUCAAUACACUUCAAAUAUAAAUUAUUUGAAAUAACUAAACAAUUUUCCAACAACCUUCCCUAAAAUGUAGUGGUGGAUCAAGAACUUCAGUAAAUGGCUUCGUUGUUGUCUCGAGUUUAAGACAACAAUUGUUUCUGAUAUGAAACUGUGUAUAAGUUCAUGAUCUCAGAAACUUUUACUUUGUUUGUGAAUCAGGAUGCUUUGUACUUGGGACCCUCCAAAAAUGCUGCUGCUCCCUUGUCAGAUUAUCGGAGGAUCAGACACAUACCUGGCGGUAUUUUGGAAGAGACCGGGAAACAAAGUCAUGGUGGACCUACUCCUACCCUAAACAAAGCCAAGCAGCCAAGGUCAGCUGCUCGAAGAAGCAAAAAUAGUGUCUUGACGACUGUGAAGGGGUAAGUUUUUACCCUCGUUACUAGUUACUUAAAUUGCCAUUUUGUUAGAUAUCUGGAUCUUUGUUAUUAAAGGUUCAUUUAGAGCACACUUAAGCCGUGAAGCUCAGGGAAGGCGCUUUGUCUGGCUUAAACUGUGUCAGUGUAGGCACGGGGCUAAGGCGCCACAUUGCUCAUGAGUUCUGUCUCUAAUGACCUUGGCGCUGAACAAGAUGUAUCACAAAAUAUGUGUUACUUUUCUUGCAUUACAUUAUCCCGGUUAAUAUUGAUUUGCACUUUGCAGUAUACUCAACAAGCCGACUCCAGAGAAGUUUGAUCUCCUCAAAGAUCAAUUGAUUGGUUCAGGGAUAACUAGUGCUCGCUUUCUAAAGGUCUGUCCUCCCAUCUCCAGGGUGCCUCUUUUUGGUAGUUUCUUGGCAUAAUACAUAAAUGUGUCUGUCCUUUUAACUAGACCUUAGCUGCUAUCUAAGCCCUCCAACUUCGGGUGUGCAUAAGUAGGCUCUUAAACUAUCAUAAAGUUGAAAAGGUAGACAUAUGCCUCGUACGUGGCAAAUUGCGUGAGAUGCACACAUUCUACAUGUCAAAUUGCAUGAGAUUUUCCAUGUAGGAUGUGUGUGUCUACUUGUUCAACAUUAUGAUAGUUUAAAUAUCUACUUGUGCACGCCAAAGUCAAAGAGAACGUUUAUGUAUUAUGCGUAGUUUUUCUUACAAUUCAAGUUUCACCUUGGAGAUUUAGUGUGUUUUUUCUCUUCACUCCAGGGUGUUGUGUCAUCAAUUUUUGACAAGGCUAUAACGGAACCAACAUUCUGCCCAAUGUACGCUCAAUUGUGUUCCGAUCUCAAUGAAAACCAGCCACCAUUUCUCUCUGAUGGUAAAGAGAUUACGUUCAAAUGUGUUGUAUGGAAUAACUGUCAGGAGGCUUUUGAACGUGCUGACAAAUUUCGAGAAGCGGUCAGGCAAAUGACAGCCCCUGAACACGAGUCAGAACGCAAGGACAAAGAAAGGUUAAUCAAAUUGCUCACUUUUAGGAGUACAAAGCUUAUCGGAGAGCUUGUUAAGCAAAAGUUGGUCCCUGGAAAGAUUGCUCUUGAUGUUCUUCAGGUUGGCUUAAUUUUUCCAAAUGUCUUUUUGUUCCACGCUGUCAUUUCAUGCUUCGCUCAUUAUAUCUUCAACACCAUUGGCAAGCUGCUUGAUGAGAACAAAAAAUCAAGGCGCAUCAGCGAUAUUUACUCUGACUGGUUGAAGAAACUAUCAACAAACCCUCAGUUGGCUCCAUGGUUGUGGCUUAUGGUUCGUAAUGUACUGGAUUUGAGUGCCAAUAACUGGGCUCCUAGGCCAAUUUGAUCCUCUGAAAAGACUUGCCAUUUUGCUUCUAGCCAGCAUACAGGGACUUUCAGUCGUCAUCCUUUGCUCUUGUGCUAAAGGCUCUCUUACCACAGGUCGCCAUUCCAUCCUUUUUCGAAAGGGUAGAUGCUUUUCUCCUCGAUUUAUCGAGAUUUCAAGUUGACAUCUCCUAUUGAUCUCUACUGCUCCCGCAAACGGUGAUGUCUCAAUUCCCAUUGAUCGCUCUGCUAUCCGGAACAAACCUUUGUCCAAGGUAGAAUCUUCAGUAUGUCAAGGCACAUAUAUGUGUCAAUACAGUUGCUCUUAUGUUGGCUAGGAAACUAUCUUGUACUUGUACGCAAGUUUGAGGAUCACGACCUAUUUGUUAUGGUUUGUAAGUUAACAUGCUAACUAGAGUACUAGACUUAGAAUAUAACAUGAAAAAUCAUACCAAUUUGUUGGCAAAAGGCGCGACAAAUAGACUAUUAAAUUGUGUGAUCAGUCAACUAUUGAAAGUAAAAAGAACAGAAGGAAAUUGAACAAAGCAUUCAUAGAACCAACAUGAAACAGAAUAUACGCUCAUCACUUACUGAAAAUCCUGGCUCUGCCACUUCAAGACAUAAAAACCAAAUACUAAAAUCUUUACUAGUACAAGAUAAAAGAAACCUACACUAAUAUUGAUUUUUGAAUCCAAAAAGUAAACAAAAUAUCAACUUCAAUUCCAAUACGAUAGUAAAAACAUGAAGGUAAUAACUUGCUAUAACAAAAUAUUCAUUUUCCAUGAAAGACAUUGUCGUUCAUACCGGCAUGCACGGCCCAACAAGUAAGUGAAACCUUUUUUUUUUCUUUUUGAACAAGAUUUAUCAGAAACAACCUCUAUAUCUACGAGAUAGUCACAAGGUAAUAAGUAGAUCUCGACAAUUUGGCAUAAUAGAUUUUGAACUUUGUGAUCAAUCAAACACAAUCGAGUCUAGAGGACGAACAACCCAAAACUACAUUAAACACAAUACACAAAGUAAAAAUAUAAAGUACAGUUGAACAAGCAACAUAACCAACAUAUAUGCAUGAACAGAAGGUAAACUUAGACACAAAAUCAAAUACUAGAAAAAUAAUCACUAGCAUUGUAUAAAAGAAACCUAAACUAAAACAUAUAGACUUUAAUCCAAAAGAGUAGACAAAACAUCAACUCCAAGUCCAAUACGAUACUAAAACAUAAAAGUAAUAAUUGUAUGCACUUAUACUGUCAGUGCAUAAAACUUAAAUCGUUGAUCUAAGCAAAGAGAUCCAAAUUAAAGUCUUCAUCUUCAGACUUUUCUUUCUCUUCAACCUUCUUUACCUCCUCCUUCUCCGCCACCGGUACACCACCACCACCAUUAACAACCACAGACCACCAGCACUAGCACCACCACCGGAAGGUAGUGGCGGACCUAUAGUCAAACUUUUGGUGCUCCGACAUCCAUUAAAUUCGACGUAGAUAAGGUAUAAUUAUAUAACAAAUGUAUAAGAUAUAAGAUUUAAAAAAACACCCAGUAAGCCAAGAAGAUAGCUAACUGGAUGCUUUAGUUUCCAGGCAAAACCUUAAAGCAUUGGACGUUAAUAUAUAUGUUGAACCUUCAGUACACUCACAAACCCUACAUCCUAGGUCCGCCAUUACCAGAAGGGACAAGCAGCAUAUAUGCAUAUAUGCAUGAACAAGCAACAUAACCAACAUAUGUAUGCAUGAACAUAAUAUAAACUUGGACAUAAAACCAAACACUAUUAUAUAAAAGAAACCUAAACUAAAAUAUAGACUUUAAUCCAAAAAGGUUAACAAAACAUCAACUUCAAUUCCAAUAGGAUACUAAAACAUAAAAGUAAUAAUUGCAAUGUUGCAUGCACGACUUAUAUUGUCAGUGCAUAAAACUUAAAUUAUUGGUCUAAGCAAAGGGAUCCAAAUUAAAGACUUCAUCUUCAGACUCUUCUUUCUCGUCAACCUUCUUUACCUCCUCCUCCGCCACCACCGUUGCACCACCACCACCACUAGCAAUCAAAACAACAACACCAGAAUGCAGGGGUGGACCUAUAGCCAAACUUUUGAGGCUCCAACACCUAUUAAAUUCGACGCAGAUUAAGUAUAAUUAUAUAAAAAAUGUAUAAGAUCUAGUAUAAGAUUUAAACAAGUACCAAGUAAGCCACGAAUUAUCUUCGUAUAGCCGUGUGAACAUCCGUAGCUUAUCCAUGUGUUGACAACUUAUGUAAUAAUUUUAGCAUGUAAUGAUUUCAGCAUGCACUCCAUAUGUCCGAAGCAGUUUCACUUGUAUGGACUAGCUUGCACUACAUGUUUAAUUCAUCUGUCUAUCAUCAAAACUUCUCAUGCCCUAACACUGUGCCUUUAGCUUCAGUUCCCCCUGUAAAAGUGCCCCCAAGUUUGACUGCUUCAGUCGAUGGAACAUGUUGUGUAACCUUUUCCCCAGUGUCGCUUUCUUCCUGCAGGUUAGUCUUGACACAAAACUCAUCAAAAAUCACAUGCAUGCUUUCUUCAACACAGUUAGUUCUGUUGUUUAAAACUCUGUAAGCCUUACUAUGAAGUGAAUAACCUAAAGAGAUUCCCUCAUCACUUUUGGCAUCAAAUUUUUCCAAAUUAUCCUUACCAUUAUUAUGUAUGAAACAUUUGCAACCAAAAGUUUUAAAGUGAGAAAUGUUAGGCUUUCUACCUUUUAGUAAUUCAUAGGGAGUCUUUUCUAACAUGGGUCUGACUAUGCAUCUGUUUGUGAUAUAUGCUGCAGUACUUAUUGCCUCAGCCCAUAGGUUUUUGGCAAUAUUUACUACAAGCAUCAUUGUUCUAGCCAUAUCUUCCAAGGUUCUGUUCUUCCUUUCCACCACUCCAUUUUGUUGUGGACUUCUAGGAGCUUAGAAGUUAUGAUCUAUUCCAUUUGAUGAACAAAAAUCUAAGAAUUUUGCAUUCUCAAAUUCUGUUCCAUGGUCAGAUCUUAUGGAAACUAAUGAAGUGCUCAGUUUCUUUUCUAUUUUCUUAAUGAAGAUUUCAAAGACAUCAAAUGCAUCUUCUUUAGAGGCUAGAAACAAAGUCCAGGUGAACCUGGAAUAAUCAUCAACAAUUACAAAAAUAUACCUUUUUCCACCUCAGCUUUGUUGUCUCAUUGGUCCAUACAAGUCCAUAUGAACCAGGUCAAGACAUUUGGUAGUGCUAACAUGGAUCUUUGACUUGAAAGAGGAUUUUACCUGCUUUCCCCUUACACAUGCACUACAUAACUUUUCUUCCUAAACUUGGUCUUGGGUAGUCCCAAUACCAUGUCUUUGGAGGAAAGUAUGUUCAGUUAUUUCAGACUUACAUGUCCAAGUCUUCUGUGUCAAAGGAGGGGAUCAGUUUCUAUUGCACUUAGACAAGUCAACUCAGGUCCUGGUAUUGCCAUUAUGUCUGCUUUGUAUACAUUCCUGUAUCUCCUUACAGUAAGCACAAUUUCUUUGGUGUCCAUCCUUUCGACAUUAACACCUGCAACAGUGAAAAUUACUUUAUUACCUUUGUCACACAAUUGUGAAAUGCUUAGCAGGUUAUGCUUCAGUCCUUCCACAAGAUAAACAUCCUCCACAGUUUUUGACUCAGAUGAGCUAAUUUUUCCAACUCCAGUUAUGAUUCCCCUUUUUCCAUUUCCAAAAGAGACUCCCCCACUAUCUAUUUUGGAGAGUGAAAGGAACUUUUGCUUGUCACCAGUCAUAUGUCUUGAGCAAGCACUAUCUAGGUACCAGUGCCUUUUGUUUCCCUUCACCUUCUCCUGCACAAGAAAUCAAUGGUUAGAAUUAGGAACCCAGAUAAGCUUGGGUCCUGUUUUGUUAAUAAAAGGAUGAAUUAAAUUCCUUCUAGUCCAAGCAGGAAGCAAGUACACUGACUUGUUUCUCAGACUAAUUUUUGUGCUUGUUUUCUUGUUCUAAGAAAGUUUGGUUGCCAGGUUCAGACUUCGAUAUCUGCUUUUAGCAGCCAUAGGACAUUCAGUAGUAGGAUGUCCAAGAUUGCCACAAAUAUAGCAUAAGUCUUGAAGAUUAUCAGCUUCUUUAUAAAAACCUAAGCUUGCUUUUUCAUUGUGAUUUCUUUUACCAAGCUGUUGAACAAUUCUUGAAGUUGUUGCCACAAUUCUUGUUUGUACUUAGUUAACUCAAGUUUAGCAUUUUAUUGUUCUUUACUUAUGGCCUUUUUCCCAUGGUCAGUGAGCGUUAGUUUAAGGAUUUCAGACUUAAGAUCAUUAUUUGAGGACUCAAGCAGUGUAAUUUGUUCCUUAAGACUGCAAUUUUCUUUGUCAAUAUUUUGCUUGCAAACUUUCAAGUCAAUGAAAUCAAAUUUAAGACUUGCAAGAUUGUUGAACAAUUCAUCCCUAUCAGAAGUUAAUUCUUGGAAAUUUUCAAUUAAAUCACUCAUCAAGGAAACAAGUUUAGUUUUUUUUUUAAAAAAUGCAGUUUUUCUUUUAGUUCAAGUAAACUUACCUCAGAAGCAUCAUCUUCUUCCUCAAUGUCUGAGUCUCCAAAAGCCAUAAAUGUUGUCUCAUCAAUUCCAUCAUCAUCAUUAUCAGAUUCAGAUCCCCAUGCAGCCAUCAUGGCAUGUUCUUUCUUUUCCUUCCUCAUGGACUUUUGUUCUUUUCAACUCUUUCCUUUCUCUAUUCUAUUUCCCAGAGAGGAUAUUCUCUAAUCUGAUGAUCAGUCUUUUCACACUUGUAACAUCCAUUUGGAUUCAUUGGAACGCUUCUUGCUACUUGUUCCCUUCUUCUUAAAAAACUUGCUGAAGUUUUUUGUUAUGAAGGCAAUUUGUUCCUUAUCCAUUUCAAUCUCUUCAUCACUAUCAGAAUCCUUCAAGGCCAAGAUUUUUCAGAAGCCUUCUGUUCCUUAAUGUCAUCAACUUCUAUUUCAUAGGUUCUUAAAUUCCCUACUAGUUCAUCCAAAGUCAUACCUGUGAGAUCCUUAUUUGCUCCCUGAUUGCAGUGACUUUAACAUUCUAUUUUGACUUUGGUAGCACCCUCAGAACUUUCUUUACUUGUUCUUCUUCAGUGAUGACUUUUCCCAAGGAGGUCAACUCAUUUGUUAGAGUAGUAAGUCUUGUCAUCAUAGCAUGGAAGGAUUCAUUUUCCUUCAUCUUAAAUGCUUCAUAUUCAGUAAAAAUGAGAGAGAUCCUGAAUUUCCUUACCUGAGAGGUACCUUCAUGGGCAUUUACUAAGGUAUCCCAUAUUUUCUUAGCAGUGGUAGAAUUCAGCAGGUCCUAGACCACAGACUAGGAUAUUCUUUGCCUUAGCAUUUUUCUUUAAAGCCAAAAGAUCAUCAGCAGUAAACUCACUCCUUAUUUUCUUGACUUGCACACCAUUUUCUGUCUUCAUAGGGAUAGUAGGACCUUUAGUAAUCCUAUCCCAUAAUUCAUAGUCUUCUCCUUGAAUAAACAUCUCCAUCCUAGCUUUCCACCAGAUGAAAUGAGUACCAUCAAAGAGUGGGGGUCUAGUAGUGGAUUGACCUUCACUGUGACCAGUAGGAGGUGCGGAAUUCAUCAUAAUGAUCUGAUCUUAGGUGCAAACCUUAUUUAAGACUAUCGGCUCUGAUACCACUUGUUAGAGUAUGAUCCGUACUGAUUGCCUAUCUGUGGAACAAGUAAGUAUACGUGGUUCACAGAAGUAAAAACUGAACACAGUAAUUUUUACGUGGAAAACACCCGGCUCAAAAAGGUGUAAAAAAUCACGACCUAUACCUCUACAGGAUUUAACCCCAAUCUUCACUAUAACCUUGAGUCUCAACAAUCAACACAAUUACAAGACUUCUUGUAAACAAGGAAUUAAAACUUCUAACUCCUAUUACUACAAAAACACAAAUCUUCCCAAGAUAAGUGUUCCCAAGUCUUUGAGUUCCCUAAAUUGAAGACGUGAUUCCUAUCUCAGCUUAUAGAAUACUGAGACUAGAACAAUUUACUCAUUACAACUCAAGAACCUUCCUAUUACAAGCAGUCUAAAACAUGCUGAGAACUAGGUUCUUCUUCAAGUUGGUGAACGAUUUUGCUGAUUGUUGAUUUUCUUAUCAGUGCUUCCUCAUUAUUUGACUGCAGCUUGUCGUCUAUAUAUGCUCCCUCAGAUGCAGUCCUUUUUCUUCUUUACUUAUAUCUUCUGUAGGACUCUUUCAAGUAACUCACUCCUUGUUGUAACCAUCUCUCCUUCUUCUAAAUUGAGUAGGACUCUUUUGCUUUAUCCUUCUGCCUUGUUGACUUCUUGAUCUACUCAAACUCUAAUUGCUCCAAUUAUCUUCAUAUAGCCGUGUGAACAUCCUUUGCUUAUCCAUGUGUUGACAACUUAUGUAAUAAUUUUAGCAUGUAAGGAUUUCAGCAUGCACUCCAUAUGUCCGAAGCAGUUUCACUUGUAUGGAUCAGCUUGCACAACAUGUUUCAUUCAUCUGUCUAUCAUCAAAACUUCUCAUGCCCUAACAAUAUGUAUGCAUGAACAUAACAUUAUUAUAUAAUGCAUGAACAAGAAAAAAUUGAACGAGCAACAUAACCAACAUAUAUGCAUGGACAUAAAACCAAAUACUAUUAUAUAAAAGAAACCUAAACUAAAAUAUAGAAUUUAAUCCCAAAAAAGUAAACAAAACAUCAACUCCAAUUCCAAUAGGAUACUAUAACAUAAAAGUAACAAUUGCAUGCUAGUGCAUAAAACUUAAAUUCAUCGUCUAAGCAAAGAGAUCCAAAUUAAAGUCUUCAUCUUCAGACUCUUCUUUCUCUUCAACCUUCUUUACCUCUUCCUUCUUCUCCGCCACCGCUGCACCUACACCACCACUAGCAACCACAACACCACCAGCACCACCACCACCACCGGAAGGGACCGAUGCAAGCAUCUCUCUUCCAGCUGCAAUAAGUUCAGUAAGGUCUUUUCCUUUGACUUGAGAUAAUAACAACUCAAUUUUUGAAUCUUCGGCUUCUGCUCCAACGGAGGAAAGAAUUGCCUUCAAAUCUUCAGCUGUAGGAUUGGUGCUUCCACCCAACACAGCCAACAAGUAGGUGGCAAUAACCUUCAUGAUUGUUUGCUUUUGGGAUAAAUUUUGGAACAAAGAGUGGUUUUAGGGUUUGUGUUACUGAGAAUAUAUAGUUGUUACUAGGGUUUUAAGGGAGUUUUUUUAGUUUUAUCGAGAAUAUAUAGUUGCUGUUGUUAUUAGGGUUUUAAAGGAGGUGUUUUAUUAUUUAUGGUAUCUUUGUGUAUAAGUCACGUAAGGGGUAUUAAUUCUUAUAGACAAAAAAAAUAUAAUUUUUCCAAAUUUAACUAGGUUAGGAUAUUAAUAGCACUUCAUAUAAUUUUUCCAAAUAUAACUAGGUUAGAAUAUUAGUAGCACUUUUGAUCCCUUAGUUAUUGGUAAAUUUAGUUUUAGUUCUUUGUGAUAAGUGCAUUUGACAUUCAUUUUUUAGAUGUGCAUUUUCUAUUUUUUGCUGGUAGGCAUGAUACGUAAACGUGACCGGCCUCAGCUGACAUGUAGGCACUCCAAUUUUGGGUAUGCAGAAAUAAAUACUUAAAUUUGUAUAAAAUUGAAUAACUAGACAUGUGUGUCCUACAUGACAUUCUACGAGGCAAUUCACAUUCUAUAUGAAGUAUUGUGUGUAUUGUGCUACGUAGAACACAUGCGUUUACUUAUUUAAUUUUAUACAAAUUUAAGUGUAUGAAACUAUUGAGUUGGAGAGCAUAGAUAUCAAAUUGUAAUCUUAUUCUACCUUGAGAAGGUAGAAAAGUUGUAAGCUUCUUAUAAUACCAUUUGCUAAUAUUCUUUUUAUGAAGUAAAGUAUUUCAUGUUCUUUUUAGUUUUAAACUUAUCUGUUUUUUUUUUUUUUUUUUUUAAAAAAAGCAUCCAGAAGAUGCAUAAUAACAUGGGUUAUAAUGCCACCUAAUGCAGUAGUUGUAGCAUGUAUUACAACUCACAUAUAAAAAGUAUCAACUACUUUUAUAUGCCUGAAUAUAAAGCCACACUUUAAUUUAGGUCCUAAAGAAAAAAGAAAGAUGAAGAAUCCAGACAAUCUCAAGGCCUAAGAUACACUAGUAGAAAAUCUUAAAAAAGAGAAAAUGUCUUUCCACCCUAAACUAUACAUGAAAUUGUUGAGACAUACCUGAACUUUAGGAGGGUCCUAUUACGCUCCUCGACUAAUUAAAUCCUAUUUUUGACAACCUUAGUGCCUACGUGGCACAUACGUGUGCCUAAGUGGACCUUCAGUAUGUCGAUUCACCGAUGUACCACGUGGGCACUAAGGUUGCCAAAUAAAAGUUUUAAUUAGUCUAGGGUAAUAGGACCCUCCUAAAGUUAGGGUGUGUCUCAGCAAUUUCGUUUAUAGUUCAGGAUGGAAACAGAGCAUUUUUCCAAUCUUAAAAAUAAAACAAAAACAACUCAACACUAUGUCGUCCUAAUAAGGGGAGCCUUGGAGUAACUUGUAAAUUUGUUGUCAUGUGAUCAGGAGGUCACAGGUUCAAGCUUCAAAAACAACCUUUGGCAGAAACAUACGAUUUUCCAUAUCGUCCUAAUAUGAUAACACCAACAUACAAAUUUGGAGAAGCAAAAUGGAAUCAGGAUUUUGAUGCGAAUGGAAAUGAAGUGAGGAAUGCUGGUGUUGAAGAAGAAGUACCUUGAGCUCAGUUGGUUGUAUGUAGACGUUAAGAGUAGUUAUGUGCUAUGUUAUGUUCAUUAGGUGUCCUUAAGUUCAAGUAAUUCUAUUCUGGUCCCUUAGUUAUAAUUUGUUCUAGCACUUUUAGUCUCUAUCAAUUCUGUUAGGGACAGAGACAGGUGGAGGAAUAUGGUACUAUGUGUUAGAGUAAUGGAGUCUAUGAAAUAGUGGCAAUUCCUCUGUAAACAUUAUCAUUAUCAUCAUAUUAUCUUUUCGAUCUUAGUAGCUAAUUUUCUUCCAUUUUCUCUUCUCUUUUCUAUUUGCUUAGUUAGCUUAAUUUAGCAUACGCAUCAUUUGGUAUCAAAGCUUCAUAUCCUCGCACUGUGGAAAUGGAGGCAGAGCUUAGAAAUAUGGUUGAGGCGAUGGAUAAGAUGUCGGCGGAGGUGUCAUACAUAGCGGAAAGGCAAAAUAGAAUGGAAGCCUAGAAAGAUGGGGUAAUUAGUGAGCUGAAGGAAUCGAUUGAAUCUAAUCAUAACCAACUGGAUCGGGGAAGGAGUGUACCCAACUUGGAUAGGCGGCACGAGACCUACUCACCAAUAAUGGGUUCGUUUGGGUAUGUCGAUCUCACCCACACUGGAAAUAACCAUCAACCUUCGAAUCUCGUCGAAGAGAAUGCAGGGGCUGGUACUUCAGCAGGGGUCCAAUACUCGGGAUCAAUGCAUCAGCAAGCCGGAAUGGGAAAUCAAGCUUUAGGAGGUUUACUUGGCUCACUUGCAUCCAGAUUGAUGUCAAGAUUAGGUAAACUUGAGUUCCCUCAUUUAGAUGGUAAGGAUCUCAGAACUUAGCUGUAUAAAAAAGAACAAUUUUUUUCUCUAGAUGAGGUUUCAUUUUCUCAAAGGAUUAAAGUGGCUUCUAUCCAUUUUGAUGGUGUUUCCAUUGAAUGGCGCCAAGCUUUUAUGCGUAGUCGAUAUCAUCUACCCUAUCCUAGCUGGGAUGAAUACUUGUAUGUAUUAAUCAAUCAAUUUGGGGAUGAAUAUGAUGACCCCGUGGCCGAGAUUAAAUUGUUGGCUUAAGAAGGAAGUGUGCAGGAAUACCAGGAUAAGUUUGAUAGAGCCAUGACUCGAUUGUCCCUCUCCACUGAAUAUGCAAUCAACUUGUUUAUUUUAGGAUUAAAGGUUGAGUAUAGGGAUAAUGUCAGAUCUCAUCGACCCACUUUCUUACCCCAAGCCUAUUAUUUAGCCAGACUCCAAGAAUCAGCUUAUCUUGCCCAACACAAACACCAUAGAUCAAAUUCCUUCCAAUCCUCUUUUUUCAACCCCAAGGUCCAGUAAUAUAAUUUCUUACCAACCCCAUAAAUCGCAAUCCCCUAAAAUAACAUAUUUCAACACCCAGUGGAACAAGGCUCAAAACCCCAUUAACAAAAUGAGAGGAAGAAAGCUGACCAUAGAAGAGAUGAAUGAGAAAAGGCUCAAGAGCCUAUGUUAUUUCUGUGCUGACAAAUUUUUUCCUGAUCAUAAUUGUAAGAAAAGCAGGCAGAUCUAAAUGUUAGAACUUGAGGAAAAUCAGGAAGAAGAGGAAGGAGGACAACGACUUUGUACAUUAGAGGUUGAAGGUAAUGAUGAAAAAGGUAUAGUUGAUCAACUGGAAGAAGGGGUGGGGGUGGAGGAGACUGAUGGUGUAGCCAUAUCCUUGAAUGCACUAAAUGAAGUGAUUGGAUUUCAGACCUUAAGGGUCACUGGAUACACAGAGAAGGGGCCAUUGAGUGUGUUAAUUAACACUGGUAGCACUCAUAACUUCAUAGAUAUAGCUGUAACUAAGAGGUUUGGCUAUGUGACUCAAGAAGUAACUCCCCAAUCAGUAAGUGUAGCUGGUAGCACUGUGCAAGGUAAUGAGGUUUGCAAGGAUUUUAAAUGGUUGUUACAAGGUACCACUUUCCAAGCUGAUUUCCUGUUGUUAAAUUUAGGAACCUGUGACAUGGUUCUUGGAGUGUAGUGGUUGUUGACUUUGGGAGGUAUCAUGAUGAAUUUUGAGAAGUUGACAAUAGAGUUCACCUACAACAAAAGGCAUCUGUUGUAUGUAAAAACACCUAGAAUUAAGACAGUUGAUAUUAAGUCUUUAGAUAAAAUGGUUAAGAGGGAUGCACAAUUGUUCAUGAUCAAGAUUCUUGACCCUGAAAGUCACAACUAUGGGACUGUGUUAUCAGGGGUAGAGAUGGAUCCUAAGAUGGAGAGCCUCAUUCAAGAGUUUGAUGGACUAUUAAUUCAUCCUAAAGGAUUACCAUCUCACGUAAAUCAAUUUGAUCACAAGAUUCCAUUGGCUUGUGGGAGCAGCCCUGUUAAUAUGAGGCCUUAUAGGUACUCAUCCAUACAGAAGGACAUCAUUGAUGAGUUGGUGUUGGAAAUGUUAGAACAAGGGAUAGUGCAACCUAGUUCUAGCCCUUAUGCCUCCCCAGUAGUCUUAGUGGGAAAUAAAGAUGGUUCAUGGAGACUUUGUAUAGACUACAGGGCUUUGAACAAAACCACUAUCAAAGACAAGUUUCCCAUCCCAAUUAUUGAAGAACUACUGGAAGAAUUGGGUGGUUCUAGGGUGUACUCCAAACUGGACCUCCAGUCUGGUUACCAUCAAAUUAGGAUUCACCCUACAGAUGUGGAUAAAACUGCAUUCAAGACGCAUGCAGGUCACUAUGAGUAGUUAGUGAUGCCUUUUGGCCUCACUAAUGCACCAUCAAGUUUUCAAAGCUUAAUGAAUCAUGUAUUUCAGGAAUAUUUAAGAAAGUUUAUUCUUGUAUUCUUUGAUGACAUAUUGCUUUUUAGCAAGAACAUGAAAGAACACUUGCUCCAUCUGAGGAUAACUUUUGAAUUAUUAAAGAAGCAUCAACUUUUCCUCAGGAAAACCAAGUGCUCUUUUGCUUGUGACAGGAUUGAAUAUUUAGGGCAUUUCAUUACAGCUGAAGGAGUGGCUACUGAUCCAAGAAAGAUUUCAGCAGUACAAAAUUGGCCUGUUCCAGUCAACAUAAAGGGUUUUUUUUUUGGGACUUGCAGGGUAUUACAGGAGAUUCAUCCAAAAUUAUGGGAUGAUAAGUAAACCCUUAACUGAAUUAUUAAAGAAGAAGGGAUUCUUGUGGACUGAAAGGGCUACUGUGGCUUUUCAGGAAUUAAAAAAAGCACUUACUGCUCCAGUAUUACCUUUGCCUAGAAGUGACCUUCAAUUUGUGGUUGAGACUGAUUCUUGUGAUAUAGGCUUAGGUGUUGUGUUGAUGCAACUAGGCCAGCCUAUAGCCUAUGUUAGCAAGGGCCUUUCUCUGAAGAACCAAGCAAUGUCUAUUUAUGAUAAAGAGUUUUUGUCUUUGGUUCUUGCUAUGACUAAAUGGUGAAUUUUUUAGUAAGGACUGAUCAGAGAGCAUUAAGGCACUUGAUUGAUCAAACAUUACACACUGGCACUCAAAUGAAGUGGAUUACCAAGAUCAUGCAAUUUGAUAUUGAUAUAGAGUACAAAAAGGGAAAGGAAAACAAAGCUGCAGAUUCAUUAUCUAGGCUUUCAAUAGGAGAGAUAGUUGCUGUACAUAUGAACCGAGUAGGGAAUGACUUAUUUCAAUCAAUCGCAGACUGUUGGAGCAGGGAUGCAGGUCUGCAAGAACUAGUCAAAUUAAUACAGGGCCAUAGGGGAGAGCAUCACCAGUACACUUUCUUCAAUAAUCAGUUAAGAAGAAAUGGAAAACUGGUAAUUGGAGAUGAUGCUGAACUAAAAAGAGAAAUACUAUAGAUUUGGCAUAAUCAACCAAGUGGAGGUCAUUCAGGAAUCAACAACACUUAUAAGAAGGUUUCUUUAUUAUUUUAUUGGAAGUGGUUGAAGGAUGAUGUAACUACCUAUGCUAAGCAAUGUGAAGUUUGUCAAAGGAGAAAGUAUGAUCCCUUUCCAUACCCUGGGAUGCUGCAACCUUUAGCUAUUCCGAACGGUUCCUGGUCUAGCAUCAGCAUGGAUUUUAUUGAGGGAUUACCAAAGUCAAAAGGGAAGUCAGUGAUUUGGGUGGUGGUGGACAGAUUGACUGAAUAUGCUCAUUUUAUAGGAGUAUCACACCCUUAUUCAGCAGUUGACAUAGCCCAAUUGUUCUUGGAUAAUAUCUACAAGUUACAUGGAAUGCCAGAGAAUAUUGUAAGUGAUAGGGACCCAGUGUUUGUGAGCAAAAUCUGGCAGGAACUAUUUUCUGCCCAUGGAGUUACUUUGAGCACUUCCACAGCUUACCAUCCUCAAUCAGAUGGACAAACUGAGGUGCUAAAUAGGAGUUUAGAAGCCUACCUAAGGUGUUAUUGCACCGACUCUCCUCAAGACUGGUUUUUUUAUUUACCCCUAGCUAAAUAUUGGUACAAUACCACCCACCAUUCGGCAAUUAACACUUCCCCAUAUGAAGCACUCUAUGGGCAACCUCCUCCAAUCCAUCUCCCUUACCUACCUUGUGAAGUCACUGAUGAACAAGUCAACAAAAGUUUGUUGACUAGAGAACUUAAGACACAAUUGUUGAAGUUUCAUUUGUCCAAGGCCCAACAAAGAGUGAUUUCACUAGCUAACAACCAUAGAUCUGACAGAGUAUUUUCAGUAGGCGAUUGGGUAUAUUUGAAGGUUCAACCUUACAGGCAGGUCUCACUCUAUUUUGUCCAUUUUAAUAGGCUAACGGCUAAAUACUACGGCCCCAACCAGGUCUUACAGAAAAUUGGUCCAGUAGCUUACAAACUAGCCUUGCCCUCACAUGUGACCAUACAUCCCACUUUUCAUGUAUCCCUUCUCAAACCUUGUCACAAACUACCUGAAACAUUCAAUCGCCCUCCUGUGCUGGAAUUCUCUAGCCCGUAUUGCCCCAAUCCCAAGGCUAUCAAAGAUAGGAGAAUGAUUAAGAAGGAAAACAAAGCAAUAACGCAAGUGCUAGUGCAGUGGACUCAAUUGCCUGAAGAUCAGUUGACUUGGGAAGAUCUGCAUAGCCUGAAAACUAGGUUCCCAAACUUCUUCCUUGAGGACAAGGAAGUUCUUGAAGAAAUGGGCAAUGAUGCGAAUGGAAAUGAAGUGAGGAAUGUUGGUGUUGAAGAAGAAGAAGUACCUUGAGCUCAGUUCGUUGUAUGUAGCCGUUAAGAGUAGUUAUGUGCUAUGUUAUGUUCAUUAGGUGUCCUUAAGUUCAAGUAAUUCCAUUCUGGUCCCUUAGUUAUAAUUUGUUCUAGCACUUUUAGUCUCUAUCAAUUCUGUUAGGGAUAAGUCUUUGGACAAAAUGGUUAAGAGAGAUGCACAGUUGUUCAUGAUCAAGAUUCUUGACCCUGAAAGUCACAAUUGAGGGACUGUGGUAUCAGGGGUAGAGAUGGAUCCUGAGAUGGAGAGCCUCAUUCAAGAGUUUGAUGGACUAUUUGUUGAUCCUAAAGGAUUACCACCUCACAGAGAUCAAUUUGAUCACAAGAUUCCAUUGGCUUGCAGGAGCAACCCUAUUUAUAUGAGGCCUUAUAGGUACUCAUCCACACAGAAGGACAUCAUUGAUGAGUUAGUGUUGGAAAUGUUGGAACAAGGGAUAGUGCAGCCUAGUUCUAGCCCUUAUGCCUCCCCAGUAGUCUUAGUGGGAAAAAAAGAUGGUUCAUGGAGACUUUGUGUGGACUACAGGGCUUUGAACAAAAUCACUAUCAAAGACAAGUUUCCCAUCCUAAUUAUUGAAGAACUGCUGGAAGAAUUGGGUGGUUCUAGGGUGUACUCCAAACUGGACCUCAGGACUGGUUACCAUCAAAUUAGGAUGAACCCUACAGCUGGGGAGAAAACUGCUUUGAAGACAUAUGCAGUUCACUAUGAGUAUUUAGUGAUUCCUUUUGUCCUCACUAAUGCACCAUCAAGUUUUUAAAGCUUAAUAAACCAUGUAUUUCAGGAACAUUUAAGGAAGUUUAUUCUUGUAUUCUUUGAUGACAUACUGGUUUUUAGCAAGAACAUGAAAGAACACUUGCUCCACAUAUGAGGAUAACCUUUGAAUUGUUAAGGAAGCAUAAACUUUUUCUCAGGAAAACCAAGUGCUCUUUUGCUUGUGACAGGAUUGAAUACUUAGGGCAUUUCAUUUCAGCAGAAGUAAUAGUUACUGAUCCAAGAAAGAUUUCAGCAGUACAAAAUUGGCCUGUUCCAGUCAACAUAAAGGGUUUUUUUUUUGGGACUUGCAGGGUAUUACAGGAGAUUCAUCCAAAAUUAUGGGAUGAUAAGUAAACCCUUAACUGAAUUAUUAAAGAAGAAGGGAUUCUUGUGGACUGAAAGGGCUACUGUGGCUUUUCAGGAAUUAAAAAAAGCACUUACUGCUCCAGUAUUACCUUUGCCUAGCAGUGACCUUCAAUUUGUGGUUGAGACUGAUUCUUGUGAUAUAGGCUUAGGUGUUGUGUUGAUGCAACUAGGCCAGCCUAUAGCCUAUGUUAGCAAGGGCCUUUCUCUGAAGAACCAAGCAAUGUCUAUUUAUGAUAAAGAGUUUUUGUCUUUGGUUCUUGCUAUGACUAAAUGGUGAAUUUUUUAGUAAGGACUGAUCAGAGAGCAUUAAGGCACUUGAUUGAUCAAACAUUACACACUGGCACUCAAAUGAAGUGGAUUACCAAGAUCAUGCAAUUUGAUAUUGAUAUAGAGUACAAAAAGGGAAAGGAAAACAAAGCUGCAGAUUCAUUAUCUAGGCUUUCAAUAGGAGAGAUAGUUGCUGUACAUAUGAACCGUCUAGGGAAUGACUUAUUUCAAUCAAUCGCAGACUGUUGGAGCAGGGAUGCAGGUCUGCAAGAACUAGUCAAAUUAAUACAGGGCCAUAGGGGAGAGCAUCACCAGUACACUUUCUUCAAUAAUCAGUUAAGAAGAAAUGGAAAACUGGUAAUUGGAGAUGAUGCUGAACUAAAAAGAGAAAUACUAUAGAUUUGGCAUAAUCAACCAAGUGGAGGUCAUUCAGGAAUCAACAACACUUAUAAGAAGGUUUCUUUAUUAUUUUAUUGGAAGUGGUUGAAGGAUGAUGUAACUACCUAUGCUAAGCAAUGUGAAGUUUGUCAAAGGAGAAAGUAUGAUCCCUUUCCAUACCCUGGGAUGCUGCAACCUUUAGCUAUUCCGAACGGUUCCUGGUCUAGCAUCAGCAUGGAUUUUAUUGAGGGAUUACCAAAGUCAAAAGGGAAGUCAGUGAUUUGGGUGGUGGUGGACAGAUUGACUGAAUAUGCUCAUUUUAUAGGAGUAUCACACCCUUAUUCAGCAGUUGACAUAGCCCAAUUGUUCUUGGAUAAUAUCUACAAGUUACAUGGAAUGCCAGAGAAUAUUGUAAGUGAUAGGGACCCAGUGUUUGUGAGCAAAAUCUGGCAGGAACUAUUUUCUGCCCAUGGAGUUACUUUGAGCACUUCCACAGCUUACCAUCCUCAAUCAGAUGGACAAACUGAGGUGCUAAAUAGGAGUUUAGAAGCCUACCUAAGGUGUUAUUGCACCGACUCUCCUCAAGACUGGUUUUUCUAUUUGCCCCUAUUUGAAUAUUGGUACAACACUACCCAUCAUUCUGCAACUAACACUUCCUCAUAUGAAUCACUCUAUGGACAACCUCCUCCAAUCCAUCUCCCUUACCUACCUGGUGAAGCCACUGAUGAACAAGUCGACAAAAGUUUGUUGACUAGAGAACUUAAGACACAAUUGUUGAAGUUUCAUUUGUCCAAGGCCCAACAAAGAAUGAUUUCACUAGCUAACAACCAUAGAUCUGACAGAGUAUUUUCAGUAGGCGAUUGGGUAUAUUUGAAGGUUCAACCUUACAGGCAGGUCUUGUUAGCAUGAUGUAAAUAUUGUAUAUUAAUGUAAUCAUAUAUUAUUGUAUAUUAGUGUAAUUACAUAGAUUUGAUUUAUUAGUUAAAGAGAAUAAUAAUGACUUUAGUAAGAGCAGAUUUAGUGAGAUAGAAUAACGAAUUUAGAGAGAUAGAAAAGCUGAUCUUUAGGGAUAGGAAGGCGGAUCUUUAGGGAUGUAAUCAUUGAAUAUUUACUAUUUAAUGACAAGACUCUUAAUAUUGAGAGGUAUUCAGCAGAAAAUUGACAUGGUAUCAAAGCCUUCUCUUGGCUGUCUUGUUUCAUAGAGUUCAUUUGUGGUUUCUUUCAAAAUUUAUUUUGAAAAUUUCGGUUUUUGUUGAUUGUUCCUCGACAAUUAACACCUAGGACUUUGAUCUUGGUCAUUUUGGUUGUUCUUUUUGAGUUAGUGUUUCUAGUUUUCAUAAUUAUGAGUUCAUAUCAGUUUGAAUCAUUUAGUGUUCGUUUCACUGAAAAGAAUUUUUCGCCAUGGGAGUUUCAGUUUCAGUUAUUUGUCACCGAAAAAGAACUAUGGGGCCAUAUAGAUGAAGUCGAUCCUGCUCAUACUGAUCCCACAAAGUUAGGUGAAUGGAAGAUUAAAGAUGCUCGGAUGAUGACAUGGCUUUUAGGGUCAAUUGACCCUCUUAUUGUUUCUAAUCCCAAGCCUUACAAGACAGCUAAGGCCAUGUGGGAUUAUUUACAAAAGGUUUACAACCAAGAUAAUAGUACCCGGCGCUUUCACUUAGAGUAUUCCUAAUUACUCUCAAGGAGGUCUUUCUAUUCAGGAUUAUUAUUCUGGAUUUCAAAACUUAUGGGAUGAAUUUACAGAUAUUGUUUAUGCCAAAAUACCUUUCGAAUCUCUCUCUGUAAUUCAGCAAGUUCAUGAGCAAAGCAAGCGAGAUUAAUUUUUGAUGAAGUUACGCUCUGAGUUUGAGAGUGUUCGCUCUAAAUUGAUGAAUCAUGACCUGUCUCCCUCCCUGGAUGUUUGUUUUAGGGAAUUUCUUCACGAAGAGCAGCGUUAUGUCACACAAAAUGCUUUCAGAAGAGGAAAUAAUGUCGCUGUUGCAUUUGCUGCUCAAGGUAAAGGUAUGAGUAGGGAUAUGAAGAGAACUCAAUGCUACAAUUGCAAGAAAUGUGGCCAUAUUGCUAGAAAUUAUGGCAAGAAGUUCUGUAAUUAUUGCAAACAACAAGGACACAUUAUAGAGUGUCCCACACGCCCUCAGAAUCGUAAGGUAAAUAAUUUUCAUGCAGUAAUAAAUGGUUCCACUCUUGAGAACUCAUCUUCAGGACAAGUUCUUACUCCUGCAAUGGUACAAUAAAUGAUCGUAUCAGCCUUUUCAGCAUUGGGAUUACAAGGUAUUGAUGUUAAAUCUAAUUUUUGGAUUGUUGAUUCUAGUGCUUCCAAUCAUAUGACCAACUCAACAAGCAUGCUAAAAAAUGUUCGUAAGUAUCAAGGUUCAUCACAAAUACAGGUUGCUAAUGGUAGUAAUUUACCCAUUACCAAGGUUGGGGAUAUUGCUCCAACUUUCAAGAAUGUUUUUGUUUCACCGAAGCUCUCAACUAGUCUUAUUUCAGUUGGACAAUUGGUUGAUGAAAAUUGUGAUGUAAAUUUUUCUCGUAAUGGUUGUCUUGUGCAGGAUUAGGUGUCGGGGACGAUAAUUGCGAAGGAGCCUAAAGUUGGAAGAUUGUUUCCUAUACAAUUUUCUAUUCCUCCUGUUAUAUCUUUUGCUUGUACUUCUACGGCUAAUAAGACUGAGCUUUGGCAUAAGCGUUUAGGACAUCCAAAUUCGGUUGUGUUGUCUCAUUUAUCAAAUUCUAGUUUAUUAAGAAGUAAAAAUCAAUUUUCCCCUGCUUCAUUUGAUUGUUCUACUUGUAAAUUAGGCAAAAGUAAAACUCUUCCUUUUCCUAAUUUGGGUAGUCGUGCUACAAAGUGUUUUGAUGUUGUUCAUAGUGAUGUUUGGGGUAUUUUACCAAUUGUUUCUCAUGCUCAGUUCAAGUACUUUGUGACAUUCAUAGAUGAUUAUAUUCGAUUUACGUGGGUGUAUUUUCUUCGUACCAAAUCUGAAGUAUUUUCCAUGUUCAAGAUAUUUUUGGCUUACAUUGAGACUCAAUUUUCUACCUGUAUCAAAUUAUUAAGAUCUGAUUCUGGUGGAGAAUAUAUGUUAAAUGAAUUCAAAAAUUUUUUGCUUGACAAUGGAAUUGUCUCACAAUGCUCUUGUCCAUAUACACCAUAACAAAAUGGGGUUGCUGAGCGUAAAAAUCGUCAUCUUUUAGAUGUCACUCGUACUUUAUUAAUUGAGUCCUCUGUCCCAUCUAACUAUUGGGUUAAAGCUUUGUCUACUGCUGUCUAUUUAAUUAACAGGCUGCCAUCUAAAGUGUUAAAUCUUGAGUCUCCAUAUUUUCGUCUUUAUCACAAAAAUCCAAGCUAUGAUAAUUUUCAUACAUUUGGUUUUAUUUGUUUUGUGUAUCUUUCUCCUUCUCAGUGUAAUAAACUUUCUAUUCAGUCUACUAAAUGUGUUUUUAUGGGUUAUAGUACUUCACAGAAAGGUUUUCUCUGUUAUGAUCCAUGUUCUAAUAAAUUUCAUGUUUCUAGAAAUGUUGUUUUCUUUGAGAAUCAGUAUUUUUUGUCCUACUCAUGUUGAGUCAUCUCCCGCUACUCCUCUUCUUCCUACUUUUGAAGAUUUGUCAUCUUCUUCUAAAAGGUUCAAACCCAAAUUUGUGUACGAACAUCGGCGGCCAACCUUACCCUCUCCUGAUAUUGAUCUGCCACCUAAAAAUGCACCACAACUAGAAUCUGAGAAUUCUUCAAGGCCUGCUCCUCUUGAGCCCACUCGACGAUCUACGAGAGUAUCUCGUACUCCUAAUUGGUAUGUCUUUUCAUCUACUUUAUCCACCAUUUCUGUUCCAACUUGUUACUUACAAGAUUCUAAGCAUGAAUGUUGGCAGAAGGUAAUGGAGGAAGAACUUUUGGCUCUCAAAGAAAAUGACACAUGGGAUAUUGUUUCAUGUCUUUCAAAUGUCCAUCCAAUUGGAUGUAAAUGGGUUUAUUUAAUUAAAUUUCAUUCUAAUGGAACUCUUGAUUGGUACAAAGCUCAAUUGGUUGUUCUUGGUAACAAGCAGGAGUAUGGUGUGAACUAUGAAGAGACUUUUGCACCGAUAGCAAAAAUAACGAUGGUGAGAACUAUUGUUGCUAUUGGUGCUUUAUAAAACUGGACUCUUCAUCAAAUGGAUGUCAAAAAUGCUUUUCUUCAUGGUGAUCUCAACGAGGAUAUUUAUAUGAAACCUCCACCAGGUUUGUUCUCAUUGCCUAUAUCAGAUGUAUGCAAGUUGAAGCGGUCUCUGUAUGGAUUAAAACAAGCUCCCAGAGCUUGGUUUGACAACUUUCGGUCUACUUUGCUACAAUUCUCUUUUGAGUAGAGAAACUAUGACUCAUCUUUGUUUCUUCGAAAAACAUCCACAGGUUGUGUUCUUCUUUUGGUAUAUGUCGAUGACAUUAUUAUUACAGGAACUGAUUCUUCACUAAUCAUUAGCCUGCAACAGCAACUUAAGGAUUCUUUUCAUAUGAAAGAUCUUAGUACUCUUACAUAUUUCUUGGAUUUGGAAGUUCAUCAUGAUUCAUUCGGUGUGUUUCUAAAUCAACACAAAUAUACCCAAGAUUUGAUUUCUUUAGCAGGUCUUCAGGAUUCCUCCUCUGUGGAUACUCCAUUAGAACUGAAUGUAAAGUAUCGCCAGAAGGAAGGCGAUCUUCUUCCUGAUCCAACUAUAUUUUGGCAAUUAGUUGGGAGCUUAAAUUACCUUACUAUUACCAGGCCUGAUAUCUCUUUUGCAGUUCAACAAGUUAGUCAAUUCAUGCAAGCUCCCCGUCAUCUUCAUUUUGUGGCUGUCUGUCGCAUUAUUUGAUACCUCCGAGGAAUAUCUAAUCAUGGAUUAUUCUUUCCUAGUGGUUCUCCUAUUCGUCUUAAUGCUUUUAGUAAUUCUGAUUAGGCGGGAUGUUUUGACACUCGUCGUUCGACUAUUGGUUGGUGCAUGUUUCUUGGAGAGUUUGAUAUCUUCGAAGAGUAAGAAGCAAGACCACGUGUCAAAAUCUUCAACAGAGGCUGAAUAACGAGCAAUGUCUACUGCUUGCUCCGAGAUUAUGUGUCUUCGUGGACUACUUGCUGAGAUUGGAUUUCCUCAAUCUAAUCCUACUCCUCUCCAUAUUGACUAUACAAGUGCUAUUCAGAUUGCUACUAAUCCGGUUUAUCAUGAGCGGACCAAACACAUCGAAGUAGACUAUCAUUAUAUACGAGAAGUUGUAGAUAAAAGUGUCAUUACUCUUCCGCACAUGUCCAGUGAUCUUCAAAUAGCUGAUGCAUUUACAAAAUCAAUGGAACGACAACGACAUCAGUUUCUCGUCGGCAAAUUGAUGUUUCUUGAUCUACCAGUAUCAAUUUGAGGGGGGAUGUUAGCAUGAUGUAAAUAUUGUAUAUUAAUGUAAUCAUAUAUUGUUGUAUAUUAGUGUAAUUACAUAGAUUUGAUUUAGUAAUUAAAGAGAAUAAUAGUGACUUUAGUAAGAGCAGAUUUGUUGGGAUAGAAUAGCGAAUUUAGAGGGAUAGAAAAGCUGAUCUUUAGGGAUAGGAAGACGGAUCUUUAGGGAUGUAAUCAUUGAAUAUUUUCUAUUUACUGACAAGACACUCAAUAUUGAGAGGUAUUCAACAGAAAAUUCACAGGUCUCACUCUCUUCUAUCCAUUUUAACAAGCUAACAGCUAAAUACUACGGGCCCUACCAAGUCUUAUAGAAAAUUGGUUCAGUAGCUUACAAACUAGCCUUUCCCUCACAUGUGACCAUACAUCCAACUUUUCAUGUAUCCCUUCUCAAACCUUGUCACAAACUACCUGAAACAUUCACUCACCCUCCUGUACUGGAACUCUCUAGCCCGUAUUGUCCCAAUCCCAAGGCUAUCAAAGAUAGGAGAAUGAUUAAGAAGGAAAACAAAGCAAUAACGCAAGUGCUAGUGCAGUGGACUCAAUUGCCUAAAGAUCAGUUGGCCUGGGAAGAUCUGCAUAGCCUGAAGAACAGGUUCCAAACUUCUUCCUUGAGGACAAGAAAGUUCUUGAAGAAAUGGGCAAUGGUGCGAAUGGAAAUGAAGUGAGGAAUGCUGGUGUUUAAGAAGAAGUACCUUGAGCUCAGUUGGUUGUAUGUAGCCGUUAAGAGUAGUUAUGUGCUAUGUUAUGUUCAUUAGGUGUCCUUAAGUUCAAGUAAUUCUAUUCUGGUCCCUUAGUUAUAAUUUGUUUUAGCAUUUUUAGUCUCUAUCAAUUCUGUUAGGGACAGAGACAGGUGGAGGAAUAUGGUACUAUGUGUCAGAGUAGUGGAGUCUAUGAAAUAGUGGCAAUUCCUCUGUAAACAUUAUCAUUAUCAUCAUAUUAUCUUUUUGAUCUUAGUAGCUAAUUUUCUUCCAUUUUCUCUUUUCUUUUCCAUUUGCUUAGUUAGCUUAAUUUAGCAUACGCAUCAGAUUUCGCCCAAAAAGUAAGCAAGUCUAUGGAGACCAUAACAGUAACGAAGAAUGUUUCUAAAUCGCAGUCUCCUACAAGUUGGCUUUCACCAUGUUCCUGCUCUAGGAUGCUACUAGAGCAAGAAGAAACUAAAUAAAAGGAGAUAAAACAAUGGAGAAUACACUUGCAAUGUCGAUAUUUGACUUCCAAUAGCUGGAGAUGAUGUUGAUCUUGGACGAGCACCAGGAACAAAUCGUGCCCUCCUUUUAAUCUGGACGUUAACAUCAUGAGUCUUAGGGCAACAUAUUUGGCUUGCAGGCUUGGAAGUGGAUGGAGGAAUGUCAGUAGAAGCUUAUGUUUUGUAGAAUUGGGAGUUGGGACAGUAAAAGAGUUGCAAGUAGUGUGAGAAAUAGUACAAAUUUGGCUUUAAUUAUGUCUAUUAAGGAAGAUUUAUGUAGAGAGUGUUAGGAUCGAUUAGCGUACACACACUAGAUCUGAUGAAGAGGAUGAAGAAAAGUAGAGAGAAAUUUCGUGAGGAGAGAGAGAGAAAUAUUUUUCGUGGUAACAGCCGUGGGUAAAAUCCACGGCGGACGCGCUAUUUAUAUUAAUGAUUCAGAGUAUGUACAGUUACACAGAGAAAUGAAAAUGAACAAUACAACCUAAAAUUUGGGUUGGGCCGCUGUCCCAAACCCCGCCUUCGGGUGGAACCUCACCGCAGAGAUUGAACCGCGUGAACAUUAAUAUAUAAUUAGUUCAUCACAUAUUAAUCUAGCUCCACAACUCAACCGAGAGAUGAUGUACAAUGUAAAAAUAUGAGAAAUGAGAAGUGAAGUAUAGUAGCAGCACCAGUGCCGGCUCCAAACCCCGCCUUCGGGUGGGGGGCUUUCGCCCCCCACACCCCCAGCAACCUCACCGCAGAGGUUGAACCGCGUGAACAUUAAUAUAUAAUUAGUUCAUCACAUAUUAGUCUAGCUCCACAACUCAACCGAGAACAUUAAUAUAUAAUUAGUUCAUCACAUAUUAAUCUAGCUCCACAACUCAACCGAGAGAUGAUGUACAAUGUAAAAAUAUGAGAAAUGAGAAGUGAAGUAUAGUAGGAGCACCAGUGCCGACUUUAGCCUAAAGCAUUUUGGGGCCUCAUUUCUUUAGCAAUUAUAAAUUUAUAAUUAAGAGUAUUUUUUAUUAAUAAAUAUUAUUUUAAUGUUAUUUUAGCUCAAAGAAAAUAUCAUAUUAGGAAUUUACGAUUAAAGUUGACAAUUAUUUUUAACUUUAUCCUUAACAUCAAAGAAGAUUUAUUUUUAGUACUUCUCAAUUCUAAACAAAAUCUAAUAAAUAUGACAACUUAAUAACUAUAUCUUAUAUUUGUUAUUUUAUGUAAUGAACGUGAAAUGAAUUAAAAUAAUAGUUAUAGUGGCAUGAAGGGGUAGAAUGGUAAGAAAUAUUUCGAUAAGAUAAAAAAGUUUUACUAUUUUUCAAAUGUUUAUACUGCAUAUAGAGUUCCUAUAAUAAUUGUUUCAGUUGAAAGAAUUUUUUUAAAUUAAAAUUAUCAAAAUCAUACUUAAGAUCCACAUCAUCUCAACAGAAAUGAAAUGAUUUAAGUAUACAAUUAAUUCAAAUGAAAAUUAUUGAGAGAAAUUGAUUGUAAAACAAAUUUAUUCAUAAUUUUGCAUCUCAAAAAGUUCUAGAAAUAAAGUUCAAAUAUAAAAAAUAUACAAAAAUCUUUUUUUAAGGCCUCAUUUUGAAGUUUCGUUGUAGGCCACACAAUAUAUCGAGUCGCCCCUGCUUUCAGAAAGUAUAGUUACCACAAUUAAUCUCAUUUUCACUCUUUUUGAAAGAUCAAAGUGUUGAGUUUGAAAUUGAGGGCAUCAUGCGGAAGCUUAGAAUUUGCAAACAAGACGGUGAUAAUUCAUAUACAAAUAAAAAUAUACUAAAAAUAAAUAUAUUAUGAUAUGUUUGGUCAAACGACCUACAUAUUAAAAAACUAAUAUUAGAAAAAUAUCAAAACCUAUUGGCUGAAAUCUCCCCCUAAACUAGACUCUUAAACGACUACAUUGUGAAUACUAUUGUGUUAUGAAUUGAGAAAGAAAUCUUCUAUUUAUAGAAUUACAAAACCCUUCCUUUGAGAAAGCAAAAACCUAAUAGAAAAAAGAAAUCUUUUUAGAUAAAGAAACUUUUUUCCAAGUAAUUCUAAUUAUGAUAGAAAAUCAAAUAAAGCAUGAAAUUCAGGGUAAAUCCUAACAAAUCUCCCCUUGGUCUAAAUUUUCUGGCAAAUCAAUCUUGAUGUUUUUCACAUAAUCUUCAUAUAUCACUGUUGCUUAUCAUGAUUAAAAAUUGAUAGGUUAAAAUUGGAGCCCUGUGCAUUAAAAAUAAAUGCACGGGUUGAAAGUUUAGCCUUGUGCAUUGAAAGUGAGCACAGGUUAAAAGUGGAGCUCAUGCCUUAAAAUAAAUGCACGAGUUGAAAGGAGCUCAAGCGUUAAAAGUAAGCAGAGACCCAUAAAUAUGGGUUGAAAAUUGAUUUGAUUAAAGAUGGAUUAGCAGCAGGAUUGUUUUGAAAAUUUGUUUGAAACUUUUCUCCACAUGUAGCUAGACAAAGAUCUUCAUUAUCAUCAAAUUGGUUGCAACUUGAUCUCAACAUGCUUUCAGUCUAAACCAUCGAACCAUUGAAUCAUAGUCUCUGAUACCACUUGUUGGGUUCGAAAUCGAGAGGGCGUCAUGAGGAAGCUUAGAGUUUGCAAACCAAGACGGUUAUAAUUCAUAUGAUACAUAAAAAUAUAUUAAAAAUAAAUAUAUUAUUGAUAUGUUUGAUUAAACGACCUACAUAUUAAAAAAAAUUAAUAUUGGAAAAACAUCAAAAUAGAAAUCUGCCCCUAAACCAGACUCUUAAACGACUACAUUGUGGAUAAUAUUGUGUUAGAAGUGAAUGGAAUUAAUAGUAGUUUUUGAAGAGGGGCUUUUUUGCUUUUCUUGUGGUUGUUGGUUUUUUAUGAGAAAGUAAUAACUAGAUAUGAUUAUAGGGAUCUAAACCUUAUAACAAAUAGCCGAUCGAAUUCACAGUUACUUUUCCUAGCCGAUAUACAUAAAUUAUAUACAGUUCAUGAAAAUCAUGUGGCUUUAUAUAUAUAACUUCGCUAUACUGACAAUGUAAGCAAAAAAAUUCACUGUGCUCAUGUCAGAGACAUUGGGGCAGUUGUUAAUCAUUUGUGCAGGUCGCUACUUAUGUGACAAGGAAUUUCAACAUUUACACUAAACCAAGAUCAACUAUAUAACAUAUUCUUCACCCCUUCGUUAUACUCAUCUAUCCCUCGAUGCCAAGUCUUUUUCUGCCUCAACUCAACAUUGCGAUUUCCUAAUCAGUCCUAUGGAAACACACUAUUUCUAUACUGUCAGAUUAUCCAAAGGAUAACUUAUGGAAAUAAUUCAUGAAAAGUAGGACUAGCAGCCUUGAUAAUAAGGCAAACUAUGCGGUACGACAAAUUAACAUACACUAAUAAUCAUAUGAAAAUAAUAAAUACCUGUGUCACAACUUUGGUGAAAAAGGGAAGAAGACUGUCUGUCUGUUGAAAGAAUUGGGAAAUGGUUUUUUUUUUUCUAUUUCAAGCUUCCUACUAUAUAGUUUGUAUUCUUUUGAUCUUUGCUUUCCUUUUCUGUUUUUCCCUUUUUUGCCUUUUUUUUUUCUUAAUGUGUGCGGGAAGUGAGGUUGCGAUGGUUCGGGCGGAUGCUCCUGUACGGAGGUGUGAGAGGCUGACUAUGGAUGGUUUUAGGCGGGGUAGAGGUAGGCCGGAGAAAUAGUGGAGGGAAGUGAUUAGGCAUGAUAUGGAGCAGUUACAACUUACGGAGGACAUGAUCCUUGAUAGGAAGGUUUGGAGGACUCGAAUUAGGGUAGAGGGUUAGUGGGUAGGAGUUCGGCAAUUAUAGUAGGGAAGAAUAUAAUGCUUUGUUUGUAUCUGCGCGUGGAGUUUCUUGUUCGUAUUGUUUCGGUGAUUUCUAUGAUUUUGGAUAUAUAGUUUAUAGUAGUACCUCGUGGGUAUCUUAUUUCCUUUAUUAUCUAGCAGUGUGUUAUCUCAUUUUGUUGUGUGCUUUUAUAUUUUUUGUUUGUUAUAUUGUUAUAUGUCUUGAACCGGGGAUCUAUUGGAAACAACCUCUCUACCUCAUACCAGGUAGCGGUGUGGACUGCGUAACACACUGGGUAUGUUGUUGUUGUUGUGUGUAACUGCGUAAGAUCAUAAUAUAAGAGUUGCUGAUACAAUAAGAAUACAACAACAGAUAUCUGUGAAUCGUCUGUGAUUUCUCGUGUACUAGUAUAUGUGUGAUUUUCCGCACUAUAUAUGAGGCUCAUAUGCUAUACAUGUUUAGGCCAUUGAGCCAUAUGUUUCACUUAUUUAAACUAAUAACAUAUGUAAUAUGUAUGUUCAUGACAUAGACAGUUGGUCCUCGAUGAAAGUUAAAGAGGCGUUGGGUGCUGGCCACGUGCUCUUCCAGAUUUGGCGUGCCACAUUAAAAUUGGUGCGACCAUAUUACAGUUUAAACUCAUCUGAGUUUUUUACUUCUUCUGUGAUAUGUGUCAACACCACGCGGAUGCCAAAAGUCUGUUCAUUGACACACUACUAAGUAGCCUACGUUCAUUUAUACACCGCAUUAAAGUACAGUUUAGUUAAUUAGAAUAGGCUAAGGAUGUAACUGAACUUAGAAAAUAUACAUUAAAUAUGUUUUAUGCGAAAAGCUCAGUGUGUAUGGAAGAAGUAACAAAGUCAAAAAAUAAUUGAGACAAUUCAACAGUGGUAAAAAUAUAGAAAUUUGGCAAACAUAAUUUUCAAACUUACAAGAGAUUUUGGUAGAUGAAUUUGUCAAAGUCAGUCACAUGUUCUUCAAACAAUUUGAAAAUUGGUGGUAAUUGUUGAAAUUGGGAUUAUCCUCCCUAUAAAAGGAACUCAAAUAUUUUAGUUUUAAACACACCUCGCUCAAUAGCCUUCUCAUCUUCUUAAGACAUUUUGAGUAUUCUCUGUUCUUUUUAUUUUUUUUCUUUUACUAUUUUUAGCGGCUUUUAUUUUGGGUAGUAGUUGUGCAAUCAUUACACUCUACCCAGUCCGCUUCCGCAAUAUUAUUAGAGACAGGAUUCAAAUUCAAUGUUCUUUUUAUUUUUUCUUUUACUAUUCUUAGUGGCUUUUAUUUUUGGGUAGUAGUUGUGCAAUAAUCAUACUCUAUCUAGUCCGCUUUCGCAAUAAUUGGUAUCAGAGACAGGAUUCAAAUUCAGUGUUCUUUUUAUUUUUUCCUUUUACUAUUUUUAGAGGCUUUUAUUUUGGGUAGUAGUUGUGCAAUAAUUACACUCUACCCAGUCCGCUGUUUAUGUUAUUACGGACCAGACUGUUCUAACAAGGCAGGGGAGACGGAUAUCGGGCAAUAACGCAGAUAAGAUCAGACUGAAUGUGUGGUUGCAGCAUAGCCUGAUCAAAGAAUUAUCUUGGUCUGUUGUAGCCAGCUAUUAAAUAAUAUUUAUAGCACAAAAUGGGAGAGGGAAAUCAAGAAGUAUCCAGAUCGGACAUGACACAGGUGUCCAUAUUAGGUGUCAAUAACAUGUCGUUGGUAUCUUCGCUUAUGUCAAGAAUUCAGAUAAAUGUGAAAUUUGCAGUUGAAAUUUUUGACAGAAUAAGAUACUUUGGGAUAUGGAGAUGCGAGGUCGAAGAUGUCCUUUUUCAACAAGGAUUAGAUCUUGCCCUAGAAGAAGAGAAACCAAAAAAUAUUGGAGAUGCAAAUUGGAAAUACAUCAACCGUGUUGCUUGUGGUACCAUUCGGUCUUUCCUUGGAAGAGAACAGAAGUAUCCAUUCACAAAGGAAACUUCUGCAAGUAAAUAGUGGAGGGACAUUAGAGGAUAAAUUUUUGAAGAAAAAUAUUCAGAAUAAACUUUUUCUAAAGAAAAAAUAUUUCACUUCACCUAUGUUCUUGGUAUCAUAAUAAAUGGUCAUAUCACCAGUUUCAAUAAAUUAGUUACAGAUUUAAAAAAUAUGGAUGUAACUUUUAUCGAUGGAGAUCUAGCAUUGAUAUUGUUGGGGUCACUUCCCGAUGAGUACGAGCACCUUGAAACUACUCUACUUCAUGGGAGGGAUGAACUUUCUCUAAAAGAAGUUUGUUCAGCUUUGUACAGCUAUGAACAAAGAAAGAAAGAGAAACAAAAGAGCGGAGAAGGAGAAACACUAGUAACGAGAGGCCAUUCUCAAGAUCAAACGAGAACAAAGAAGGGAAGAUCCAAGUCAAGGUCCAGACUUAGCAAAGAUGAAUGCGCCUUUUGUCGAGAAAAAGGGCACUGGAAGAAUGACUGUCCAAAAUUGAAGAAUAAGACCAAACCUAAUAAAGGGAAGGCUGCAAUGGAUUCAAAUGUAGCUGAUUGUGACGACGUUACUGCAGAGUCAUCAAAACCAUUAGAUGUAUGGCUGAUGGACUCGGCUUGUAGCUAUCAUAUGUGUCCCAAUCAGGAUUGGUUCAUUGAUUUUGAAGAAGGAGAAUUCGGAGUUAUCCACAUGGAAAACAACAACUUUCUUACCGCAUAUGGCAUUGGUUCAAUACAUUUGAGGAACCGUGAUGGAAUGAUCAGAACACUAACAGAUGAUCAAUAUGUACAAUAUUUAAAGAAGAAUCUAAUUUCUAUAGGAACCCUUGAUUCAAAAGGUCUUAAAGUUAUUGCAGAAAAUGAAUUGAUGAAGAUAUACUUCGGUGCAUUUGUGGUAAUGAAAGCUAUUCAGAAGAACAAUAGUUUGUACCAUUAUCAAGGCAGUACAAUUAUUGGGACAACAAUAGUAACAUCCAGUGAUGAAAAAGAGGCAGAAGCAACCAGGCUAUGGCAUAUGUGUUUGGCAUACGCUGGAGGCAAAUCUUUGAAAAUUCUAUCUGAUUAAAGGUUGUUAAAGGGCGUUAAAUCUGGAAACUUAGAAUUUUGUGAACAGUGUGUGAAGGGAAAACAAACAAGGGUUAAAUUUGGUACAACUAUCCAUAAUACUGAAAGAAUUUUGGAUUAUGUACAUUCUGAUGUUUGGGGUGCUUCCAAAACACCUUUAUUAGGUGGGAAACACUAUUUUGUAACCUUUGUUGAUGACUUUUUCCGAAGAGUAUGGGUGUAUGCUGGGAAUUUUCGUCAAAUGGAAGACGAUGAUAGAAAAUCAAACAGGCAGAAAAAUCAAGAUUCUUCGCACAGAUAAUGAAAGUGAAUACAAGAAUGAUCUUUUCAACAAGGUCUGUGAAGAUAAUGGCAUCGUCAGAUACUUCACUAUCAGACAUACCACACCAAAAUAAAGUGGCAGAACGCAUAACCGAACUUUGCUGGAGAAGGAACAAUGUAUGUUGUCCAAUGCUGGCUUGGGCAAAGAAUUCUGGGCUAAGACAUAACAUAUGCGUGCCACAUUAUUAAUCGUCUACCAUCUGCUGCAAUUGGUUGGAAGACACCAUUUGAAAAGUGGUAUGGAAAACCUGUUGUGGAUUAUGAUUCUUUACAUGUAUUUGGCUCAACUGCAUACUAUCAUGUGAAAGAGUCAAAAUUGAAUCCAAGAGCUAAGAAGGCUUUCUUUAUGGGAAUUAGUUCUAGAGUCAAAGGCUAUCGCCUAUAGUGUCUUGAGACAAGAAAAGUAAUAUUCAGCAGAGACUUACUUUUGAUGAAUCUGCGAUGAUGAAAAAUGAUGCAGAUGAAGAUACAAAAGUAACUGAUAGUGCUUUAAAGCAGGUGGAGUUUGAGGAAAAAUUUCCUCCACAAAAAGCAGAUAAAGAAACAAAUGAUAAUUUAGAAGCAGAGCCACUUGAGACACAAGUUCCAACUCAAGAACCUGAACAUCAACGUGAGUCAAUAGUAACCCAAAAAUUCAAAAGAACAAUAAAGAAGCCUAUGCGUCUCAUAGAGAUGAUGGCAUGUGCAACCUCAAUCACAAUUGACGGUAUUCCUACCACUUAUAAAGAAGCUAUCCAGAGUUGUGAAGAAAAUAAGUGAAAGGCUGCAAUGGAUGAGGAAAUGAAGUCCCUUCAUCAGAACAAUACGUGGAAUCUGGCCAACCUCCUGGAGGGCAAGAAAGCUAUUGGGUGCAAGUGGGUAUAUGCAAAGAAAGAAGGAUUUUUCGACCAAAAUGAUGUUCGCUACAAAGAAAGAUUGGUGUCCAAGGGAUAUGCUAAGAAGGAAGGAAUUAAUUACAAUGAAGUAUUUUCUCCAAUUGUAAAACAUUCUUCCAUUAGAAUUGUGUUGGCUUUGGUACCGUAGUUAAAUUUGGAACUAGUUCAGAUGGAUGUAAAAACAACAUUUUUACAUGGUGAUUUGGAAGAGAAAAUCUACGUGACUCAGCCUGAAGGAUUCAAAGUUGCAGGGAAAGAAAACAUGCUGUGCAAACUUGAAAAAUCAUUGUACGGAUUGAAACAGUCUCUUAGACAAUGGUACAAAAUAUUUGACAAGUUUAUGUUGUAAAAAAAGUACGUGAGGAGCAAAUACGAUCAUUGUGUGUAUUUGUGCAAUCUUAAGGAUGGUUCCUUUAUAUAUCUUCUCCUUUACAUUGAUGAUAUGUUGAUAUCUUCCAAGAAUUUGGCAGAAAUUGAGAAGAUAAAGGCUCAACUAAGUAAGGAGUUUGAGAUGAAGGAUUUGAAAGAUGCGAAGAAGAUUCUUGGCAUGGAGAUAACAAGGAAUAGACAUUCAAAGAAACUUUGUUUAUCUCGGAAAGAAUACUUGAAGAGGGUGCUAGAUUGAUUUGGUAUGGAUGAAAAGAAAAACCAAUUAGCACUCCAUUGGCUUCCCAUUUUAAGCUUAGUGCUGAUAUGUCGUCAAAGAAUGAAGUCGAAAGAGAAUAUAUAUCAAGGGUACCAUAUGCAAGUGUUAUUGGUAGCUUGAUGUAUGCAAUGAUUUGCACAAGACCUGACAUUUCACAUGUUGUUAAUAUUGUGAGCAGAUAUAUGCAUAAUCCAAGAAAAGAACAUUGACAAGCUGUGAAGUGAAUUUUGCGGUAUAUUCAUAAUACCGUGGAUGUUGGGUUAGUUUUUGAGUAGGAAGAAAAUUCAUGUGUAGUUUGAUAUUGUGACUCUGAUUAUGCAGGUGAUCUGAACAAACGAAGGUCAACUACUGGUUAUGUGUUUACUUUUGCAAAAGUGCCAGUUAGUUGGAAGUCUACUUUAUAGUCAACAGUUGCUUUGUCUACAACUAAGACAUAAUACAUGACUAUUACAGAGACUGUGAAGGAUGCAAUUUGGCUUCAAAGAUUGCUUAAGGAACUUGGUAUCAGACAAGAAACUAUUACAAUAUUUUUAGUGAUAGUCAAAGCACUAUUCAAUUAGCGAAAAAUCAAGUCUCUCACGCAAGAACGAAGCACAUUAAUGUUCGGUAUCACUUCAUACGAGAAAUAAUAGAAGAAGAUGAAAUCACAGUACAAAAAAUCAAGAGUAAAGAGAAUCCUGCUGAUAUGCUAACUAAAGUGGUGACUACGAUCAAGUUUGGACAUUGUUUGAACUUGAUCAACAUUGUUUAACAUUGAAGUUCAAAAGUUGAAGACACAAUUAAAAUUUGUCAUGAGAGAGAAUUGAAGAUGUGGUAUAUCCCAAGGUUGAGAUUUGUUGAAAGUGGGAUUAUCCCACAUCGAUCGUGGAAGAAAAUGGGGAGGCAGGUUGGGGGGAUCUUCUUCCCUAUAUAAGGAUCCCAAAUGUUUUAGUUACACUCCUCUCAAUAGCCUUCUCAUCUUAUUAAGACACAUUUUGAGUAUCCUCUCUCUUUUGUAAUAUUUAAUAAAAUUUGAUCAAUUGUGUUUACUGACGUAGGUAAAAAUAAUAUUUUUUAUUCAACCUCAUUGUUUUGCAGAGAAAUUGACUUUUUGACAAAAUCGCCACUUGAUUUUGAAAAGGAAUUAAGAAACCCGCCCGCUAACUUGCGAUUAUCCGAUCUAUUUGAAAAUCAUCUCUUUUGACUAACUUAAAAAAUCGAUUUGUUGGAAAAGUAAUUAAGGAAAAUUUUUUUGCAAAAUUAGUUUUUUAGCGACUUACUUAGGGAGUUAACUAGAUUCGAACACCAAGCAAAUAAAAUAAGGAAAGGGAAAUAGAGGAAGAAAUAAAUGAUUUGGACUUUCAUGCCCAAAUCCGUCACCCUGUUCUAGUCUAGAUAUUAGGCUUUCGGCCCGUCUUCCACCUGUCCUAAUCUAUAUUUUCGAGUCUUUGACUUGAGUUUCGAUUCACCUGUAUUAGUUUACAAUUUUGAUUUCGCGGCCCAAAUAGAUAACCGAAGAAAUAAAGAAAUAAAUAAAUAAAUAAAUAAAUAAUACAACAACAGAAAAGUAAAUAAAAGAAUGAGGCUCUCGAGUCUCGCGCCUGCUCCAAUAGUGGGACUUUAAUCCCUUCUCCUCCUUCCUACUUUCUUAUCCACGCAAAGUAACCUUAGACUCUCUUUCGGGCUUGACUCAACGGAUGGGCCUUAUUGGCCCAUUAGGGAAUGCAAAGAGUCCGUUUAGACUCCAACGAAUUUCCAUGCAAAAAAGAAAAGAAAAAAAAUAGAGAACAUUAAUACGUGAUUAACGAAGGGACAGAGAAAAAAAAUAAAUACAAAACACAGAAAAUAAAUAAAAUUAUUUAACCCACGACCUGUCAAAGAGGGGAGAAAAAACUAGAUGAAAAUAUUUCGGAUUUAACUAAAAGUAGUAUGAAUCUUUAAAUAAUCAUAAGCCGAUGUAAAAAAAAAAUAGUAAGCCGUAUUCGCAAUUGAUUCAAGUUUAUAGAUUCAGCCUAAACAAAAAAAUUUAAACGUAAUUAAUACAUAUUAUUGACUUGAUUAAAUGUAACAGAUUUUCCACAAUUUGAGUCAAAUCUCCUUUUCAAUAUUUCAUUACUUAAACUGUAAGACUAAGCGUGGUGCAAAGUUUCAAAAUACUGAUGCCAAAAUUAUCACAGAGAAAAAAAACUAUAUCAGAAACUAUACAUCACAUGAAAUUUCUUCUUAGAAACCAAAAACAAAACUCAUGGCAAUUUAACUACAUAAAAAUUAUCCACUUGGGGUAUGUGAAGAACCAAUUGUUAGACUAAGGAUUUUCAGGUGCAUGAAGAUUAUCAAACAAUAUAUGAUGUCGAGAGCAUUUAAACAUUAUACCGAAUUAGCAUUAAACACUUCAAACGAUCAGAAUAUACUCCUAACUAAAUAGAUUGGAGAAGUAAGACACUAGAUAUGAGUAGGAUUUUAAUAAGACACUAGAUAUGAGUAGGAUUUUAAUCUAUCGAAAAAACAUAAUGUUAUGCUAAACAAAAUUCCAAGUUGCAUCAUACAUGGUGCACCCAAAAAUGCAUCUUUUAACUUACAACAACAAUAAACCAGUUUGCACUAAUGACUUAAGCACGCUAAAUUUUCAGUAUAUGCGAGUUCCUAACAAACAACCACAAUGGCAAAGAAAAUCAACACAUAAAAAGACAGGAGAAACUGGAAAAUAUCUGUAAAGGAAAAGCUGAACAACUAAGUGGAAAGAACAUCGUAAACACCAGAUUUAAGGCCUAUUCUAUCUUUUCUCCACGAAUCAGCAAACUGAGAGAUCAAAAAUAUCCUAGAGGAUUUCUAAGCCUAUUAUUACAAUUUGUCGCUGAGAAAUCAUGAACGCUUAGAGAACAGUCGCUAUCAACCCCCAAAAAACAAGAAAAUUUAAACGUCUACUAAACUUGAAGAAACUGUCCUAGAUAAGACAAGUUUAUACAUAAACAAGACAAUACAGAGGAGAUUCAAGAUAGAUAGUGACUGACCUAAACUUACAGCAAAACAGGACAUCUAAUUUAAAGGAGAAAAACGUCAAAUUUCGCGAUGACGAUUAGGCAAAAUCAACAGAAUAAAAUGAGCACAGAUUUUAUACCAAAGGAAAAUAUCAUCCAAAGCAGGAAGGCAUACUCAAAAGACUAACUAAAGAUCACCAAAUCAGAACGUCAAGCAUUUCAUCUCAAACAACAAUCGCAAUCUUUUUUGCGAUACCUACGGCUCUUAAAGCCACUACAGCAAUAACUCCCAGCACAGAAUAUACUAAUCUAAACUACUAAGACUAUCACUAUUACAACGCAGCCAUAUGAGAAAAGAAAAAAAUCAAAGACUAACCUGAUAUUGGGCAGCAAAACGGGAUAACGAGCUAACGUCGAGAUGCACCGCCACCGGAAAUCAGCGCUAUCAACUCAGGAUCCUUCGAUUAACCAGCCAACUUUCAGAAAGAAGAAAGAAAAAGAAAUUUUUUCUCUAAAACGAACUGUUUUUGCACUCCGAAUUUUCUUCCCCUCUCUUCAACCAAAAUUUUCUCCUUCUCCAUUUUUUUUCAAACCCUCCAUUUAGAACCCAAACAAAAACCUCCCCCAUUUUCUCCUAAAACAACCAUUAUAUAGAGAAUAUGCUAGGGUUCAUUUCAAGGCUUCAAUGAUGUGGAGCAAAUUGAAAUUAGGGAUAAUUUCGGGAUUUACCCAUUGGAAAAUUUUCAAAAUUUUCUGGAUGGGGACAAAUAUUUUGGAAUGAUUCCAACAAACUCAACCAAUAGAAAAUUAGGAAGAAGAAAUUCUCCAAUAGCCAACCAAAUUCACCCAUGUAUGUACAAAAUUGUACCAAACCAGCUAAGCCGUACGAAUUUGAACGUUGGGGUGCCAGCUCGACACUUUUCUAGAAGUUUCAACACUCUUACCUUGAAUGGACCCGCGUGAUACGCAUGUGAUGGAGAAGAAAGAGUCGGGUUCGAGUUGGUGAGGGUCGGAACCAUUCUGGUCGAAGAGAGGUCGGGUCAUUGAUGAAGAAGGUUGGGUCGGAGCUAGGUUGGGUCGGAGUCGACGGAAUAAGGGUUUGGGGGUAUCGAGAUCGCUGGUGUUAUUGUCGUUUGUUGUUGUUUGCUGAUGAUGAAGAAACGGGUUAAAGGGGAAAAAGGAGAAUUGGGCUAUCUUGGAAAGUUGUUAUUGUUGUGGGCUGGUUGAGACUAACAAAGAAAAAUGGGCUAGUUAGAGGCGGAG
rnacentral:lncRNA from 1 species